rnacentral:lncRNA from 1 species
CCAAAAAAAAAAAUCUCAGAGAUAGUCCCUUCCCAUUCAACACUUGCUUGUUCCAUUUCAAAAGUGGACAAAGAUGUAUGACUAUAAACGCCUAUACAUUAAUUGGUUAAUGAUUUGAUUCAGUGCUCUCUUAAUUUUCUUUCUCAAUAAAGGCAAUCGGACAUGCUCCUGUUUGAGGAAUCCUUUGUACUAAUUCGUAAAAGAAGCACCUGUUGUUGUUGGCGUUUGGCAAAGAUCCCCACCUGUUUGUUUUCCUCCUUGUUAAAAAGAGGGUCUUGGGAUAGGUACAAUUGCACCAGGUUGAGUUCUUUUAUAAGAUGAAGUUUUGUCUGUGAAUUUUUUAUCACAUAUACUAUGCCAAAAGUAAAAAUUAUCAUAAAAUCGUCCUCGAAGUAAAACCAUGUUUUGGGGGUUUUUUUUAACGAACGAGGUAAUGUAAAAGUCUUUUACAUCCCAUAAGUUCCAUUAACCUACCAAAGCUGUAAGAAUCUUAAAUUUUUUUAAUUUAUCUUUACUAAUUUUAGGCCUAAAAUUAAUCCACCUCAAGAAAACAAGAUUAUUGUGCAUUCGAAUUGUGACACAGGAAAGGCCACAAAAGUUGCAUUAUUAGUAACUCUUGAUCCAUACUCCACUAUUUAUGUGCGAGCAUCUUAAUUUUACUGUGUUACUAACAAUUAUAUAUUUUUGUAUUACAUUUUUACUGCAUUACUACAGUGAGGUAAACAAUAUAUAUAUAUUUAUAUAAACUUUAAAAUAUCGGGCAAUAACUAAUCCUAUUACCAAUCAAAUUUCAAAUCUAAAACUUUCCCACUAUCCCUUAGAUGAAUCAAUUGAGUGUUUCAUAAACCAUUUACGGUUUGUUAUUUAAACAUUAAACCCUUUUUAUUCCUUAAUUAAAGAAAAUACAUUUGUCAUGCUAAAUUCUAAGGGAUAAUUGAUUAGUCCCAUUCUAAAAUUAUUCACCCUAUUAUUCCUAUUUUUUAGUUAUUCACCCAAUUAUAUUCUAGGUACUAUAAUCAUUUGUCAAUCUCUUCUAGUGAUAUAUUCAAUUAGUCCUAUUUUUUAAUGGUUUAUCCAUAAUCACUAAAUCAAUUUUCUUGUGGGCUUAAACUCAUCUUAAUUUUUUUUUGUAUUUAGUGAGUUUAAGGCAUUUUGAUAGCUUUGCUUUUCUAAGUUUAAUAUUUUUUAUGUUAGACUUUAUUUAGUAGGUUUUUUUUUUCAAAGUUUUAAAAUUUUAAUGUUGAAAUUUAUACUCUAAUAUUAAAUUUGGAGUAUGUACCUAAUCGUGAUGACAUUUUAUUUGCACUUAGAAUAAACUCAAUAUUAAUAUCAUGCAAGCAUCUAGAUGAUUUUCAUAUAGCAUAUGUGCAUCAAAAUAUGCAUAUCAAAGUUAUGUAUAAAUUCUAAAUCAAUAAAGGCAUACUUAAAUGGUUGUUUUUGGCAGUAUUUUAGCAAAAUUUUGAUGAAAAGUGUAGUAUUUCACCAAACUCCCAAAAGCUUACUUUUUCUCGAUGAUUGCAAUUCUAACUUCUAACAAAUAAGGCAAUGCAUCCCUAGACAGUGAAAGAAAUGGAAAGAUUAUUCUAGCUGUUUAUAUGUCCAAAAACACUUAAAAAGUGAAGUAAUGAAUCCUAAAUAGUGAAAAGAGUGGGAAGAUAAGACUAUAGGAUUGGAGAGGAUAGAGGUUGGGGAAGAGCUAUAGAACUGGAUGAUUCAUGUGAGUUUUGACGAGUUAUAAUUGAGUUAACAUAUGUAUAUCUACUUAGUUAAUGGUUCAAAAUGCACGAAUCAUCAAUGAAAACAGUUUUAGAUGGGUUUGAAUUAUCUAAUUACCCAUUCACGUCCCACUACUAAAUUUUUUUUACUUUUUCUUCCAUAUUUUGUUUAGCAACAAAGUAGUAUAUCAUUGUAAACAAAAGAAAACAACAUAUUAAAUUAGUAAAUCAAUUUUUAUCGAAAGAAAGAGAACAAAUAUAAAAAAUUUCGCAGAGGAACCUAAAAUUGUGAUCAUAGUGAAUUUCAAAUUUUAUCACUUUUCAAGAAUGUAAAAAUAACUUAUGUAUUAAUGCAAUUAAUCAAUUAACACUUAGGAAAUUUAUUAGACUUCUAUGAAAUGAAGGGAGGAAGUAGGAUAAAAUUUUAAAAAAUAAAAGAAUAGAAAUUAAAAAAGAGGAAAAAUGAAAAAUAUGUCUUUGUAAAUAAUUAGAAUAUAAUUAUUGGAGUGAUUUAGAUUUACCCAUUAAUGAUAUAAACAUGUCAAAAUAAGUGAUUCAAACAUGUCAAUUUAAUACCCAUUAAUUACUGGGUUUAAUUAGGUCACUUGUUUAUUUGUUGAUGGGCGAGUCAAGUAAAUAGGUUACCAUUUACAUUUAUAAAUAAAUAAAAAUAAUAGUAGCACAGGAGGCAAGUGCAUUGCAAAAUUGAGUACGAUAUAGGGUAAUUAGGUAGGAGCAGGAUAGAGCAAAUAGAAAAUAGAAUUUUGGGGAAUAUGAAGUAUUAGAGAGUUGUGACUUGUGAGAAAGUUGGCUAAUAAGAAAGGUGAGGAAAAGGAUAGUGGAGAGUAGAGGGAUAGGGUGGAGAAAAUGGUACUAAGAGGGAGAAUAUGGGAGAGAGAGGUAUUAAUGUUGUGUUUGGUGUGUGAUGCGACAGCCAAGAACGCAGUCCGAGCUGAGCUGCUGCAGACCGAGCUGGUUGGGGGCCGCCGAGCUGAGAGGGGGAAGGCCGAGCUGAAUAUCCUGCGAAGAAGAACGAAGACGGGACUAGAAUCCCCGGAAUAGCUCCGACGAUCAAGUCAGUAGAGUUUAAGAGUAGGACAACAAUAGAGACUGUGGAUGGCGUACCUUGUAUUGUCGUGUGGUGCCAUAUUUAUAGGCUUCAGGGUAGUGGUUUCCAUAUAGGAGUAGGAGUCCCCUUAGGGUUCGGAGUCCUUCUAGGGUUUCGUAUGACAAUCCCUAAAGGUUCGGAGGCAGCGGCCCACUAGGCCUACUCUAGGGAGAGGCGGCGGCAGUGGCCGAGCUGACCUCCCUCUAAAUCGAGCUGAGGUGUCUGAGCUGGGAGACCUCUAUUGCUGACCUCGUGUGUGCCAGAGUCGAGCUGACACCUGUCACAUGUGGAUUGACCCCACUACUCUAUCCCCCUUUGAGUCUAGAGUCACCGAGAGGUCGCGUGAGUCAGGACCAAAUUACGAGGCAUCGGGUCAGUUCGGCGUGGGGUCCACGAUCCCAUAACUAUGCCUCUUAUUCGAAUAACUGCCACGUCUACUGUCGUAACUGUCGCUUCAAAGGUCAUGUCCUCUUGCAAUGGCGGUUGUCAGCUCAACCGUCUUCCAAGGUGACAGUUUUUUAGCAAUAAAUUUAAAUUUUCAAUUCGGGACUCUUCGUCUUCCCGUCCAGAUAGCCUAUAAAUAGACCUCAUCAAACGUUACUUUCAAGCUUCAUUCCUCACUUUUUCUCCUUCUAAAUCUCCAUCAGCUCGCUCCGCGCUUAGUGAGUUCGUCAGAGAGUAGCAUCUCCUUCUAAGCACCUACCAGCUCUUCUCCCUUAUCCGCUAGUAAGUCUUCUUUCUCUUUUAUGUCUUCCUCUUCCACACACUCAGACUUCAAUAGCUCGACACCUAGGCGUAGAGUAGUCCGACCUGCCCCCAUAGAUAUAAUCUCUUCUUCUUCUAGCUCCUCAUCCUCUAGUUCAUCUGGGUUUGAGUACUACCUUUCCCAAUACAUUCUCCAACCCACAACAUGGACCAACUGGACCAACCUGCCCAACCUGACACUGGAGCUGCUGCCCCAGUAAUUCCACUGGAAGCAGUCCUAGGUCGCGCCAGGGCAGGUCUCUCUAGGGGGCCUGACAUCGACUUCGGGGAAGUCGAGAUCAUCCCCCCCUCUUGGACCAAGAGGACGCAAACGAGUUGGUGGGGAAGUAUGACAUUCCUUUCCAGUUCGAGACUAGGACUGCCCGGCCAGGGGAGUACGCGUGUCGACCUCCUCCUGAGUCUGUGGCCAUAUAUAGAGAUCAGCUCGUAGCCGGUGACAGGUGCCGAACCUGUGCAAUAAUAAUAAAUAAAUCCUAACUACCACCUGAACAGUCAGUAAUCAAUUCGAGUACUGGAGCAGGGACUCUAGGUGUGCAAUGGGUUACUUGAUUCACCCUGUUCCCGAAGAGUUUGCUUAAUCCGAUAUACCUGAAUUAAUUAUUUAACUGAAUUCCCUAACUAGUAAACAGUGAUAAGCAGGGUCGUCUCCUCAGGGACUGGAGAGAUAUUUGUUUCUUUUCAAAUCAAGAUUAAUGGGGGGGUUUUGGUAUCAAAAGCCAACUGAACAAAUUAAAUGCAGAAACUAAUUAAUUAAAAGAAAUAACUAAGAGAAACUCUAGCCAAGGGUAUACUUCAGAAAUGGUUCAUGCACUGAUCAUUGAUUCAAAGGUAAUUCCAACAUUUAUUAAUAGAGUGGUUAUAGUUGUCUCGCACGCGCUAAACAACCAACCCUUCCUUAAUUUAUCGAUAGCUAAGGUACGACCGUUAACUAUUUCCCUAACCCAAAAACAACCCUAGGUACGACCGUAGGAUUUAAUUUUCUGGUUUGCAUUAGUAAUUAGAAAGGCCCAAUCCUAAUUAACAAACACGCUACGAGGGUUUGUUUAAAUUAGAUCAUAUGUUCCCCUGACAUAAAUCCAAUUACGCCAGUUGCUACUGGGAUAGAGAUAACGAACAAUUACGGAUUCAAUUAUCCCUAUUUAGCAAAAUAGUCUAUGUGAACAAUUAAUUAUUGCGCAUUAAUCAAUCAUACACAAGAGCUAUAACAGUUAAAAGCAGGAAACAUAUGAAUACCAAUAAAUGGAGGAAACAAUUAAAAUAAAUUAGAUCUCACAGUAAUUGUUGAACCAAAUCUUCAGUUGUCCCCUUGACUAGCAGUAGGAGGUUAGUCCUCCAUUAAUGGAGAACAACCAUGCGAAAGAGCUAAGAAAAGAGAAUCUAAAACUAUGAUAAAAGCCUAAACUAAAAAUUGGAGAUGCCGAGAGAGAGAGAGCGAGCCCCCCCUGAAGCCAGCGAAGGGAUUGUAUUUAUAGAGUCCUCGUGCGGCUGUCUCCAAAAGAGACCCAGUAGUCUUCCUACUUUUGUGGGCCAGCACGUUUAGUCAAAGAAGGAACCCAAUCAAGUGAAAUCCAAUUGAAGUCUUGUUGCCAAAUGACUCUUCACGUGCAAAUUGGCUAAGUCAGCAUUGUUCCAGAAUUGUCACCCGCGAAGGAAUCUCCAAAUAUUUGGAAGUUUGCACGUGGCCAACAAUCCCGCAAAUCCGGCUUUGGACAUCAUACUUAGGCGUGCCCACGUCUAACUGACAGGAAGGCUUCAAAAGUUAAUUUUUCAGCUCCUUUUGCCCCUAAAUGCUGCAAUUCGCAUAGAACACAAAAUCUUAGUAAAAUCCACCGAUUAGUGCAGUAUUUAGUCCAAAUAAAUAGGAAAAGAACGUGAGAAGACCGACUAAAUUGCACUCUAUCAAUUACCCCCACACCUAGAUCAUGCUUGUCCUCAAGUAUGAGAACAACAAAUCAAAUAAUCAAAUUCAAAUAAUGGCUAUUGCUCAAAUCUUCUAUUGCCAAAAUACAAUUAAAAUACAUGUCAAGUAUUAGUGGCAAUUUGCAAGAAAUAUCUCUCCAAUUAGCUUUCAAGAUCAAGGACUCUUUCAAUUUAUGACUAACUAAUCUAAGAAUAUAAAAUAUUCAACCAACAUCUGUAAGCAAAUGGUUCGACUAUUAAGCAAAAUCUCAACAAUAAAAUUCAUGGGUCAGCGGGCUAGCAAGUCAUUCAUAUUUUCCACUAUUAGCACCUUUUUUUUAAUAUCUCCACUUGAUUGAUUUUUUUUCUCGGGGGAAUGCUUAGUUUUCAGCCAUUCAAGCGUUUUGACGCGAACUCCAACAUUGGCCACAUGAAGGAGCCCAGUUACUCAGCCAUCAUCGCUUAAAAACCACAUACUCAUAGUUAUCGUCGCUUUUUGACGCGAAAGUCGACACUUGUGGUGAAAACCUCCGGUUACUAGACAACGAUACCAGCGGAGUAUAGCUGAAUACUAUUCAGAAAUAAGCACCAAAAAUAAAAUUAAAUACCACACAAACCCGCUUCAUUUCUUAAACAUGGAGAACUAAGAUUAAUAGCUGAACCAAUUUGCACAAAAAAAAAUGCUAGACAAAUAUUUACAAUACUUAGAAAAGUUAACCAAAAAGUGCAAAAGUCACAAAAUCUCAAAUAUUCACCAAAGAGAUACCCUUAAACUCAACCAUGUCAUACUCAACACCUUAAAGUGUAAAAUCUUAGCAAUAGAAAAAUUUGAAACAUCUAACCAUCGUUUAUCAGGAAUAAUCACAAAUAAGCACAAAGAUAGGCAAAAAUCGGACAAAAUUCGACAAAGUCAAACAAAAAUUCCAACAAAAAUGCCUAUACCUGCACUUUUUCAAUAAAAUGCCAAUAUACUACUCCCCCCACACCUAAAUCUUGCAUUGCCCUCAAUGUAAGCAAAGAAAGAGCAAAACAGAGAUAUUGGGGCAACGACACUUCCCUGAAGUCAUCAAAACAAUGGCAGCUCAGGUGGAAAUUGUGGAUCAAGACCUGCAUAGUGACGUCAAUGCGGGUCAUCCGAGUCUCUAGUCUCUCAACUCGCAUCUGGAGCUGGUGCCAUUCGCGGCUUCACCAUGAACUCUAAUAUCACUCUAAGCAACAAGAGACUACAAUUGCCAACAAAUAAUGGAAACCGAAAAUUCAAAGCAAUAACAAUUUUUAAAGCCAUCCCAAUGAGCAAAAUGCACAAUUCAAUCUCCCACAGAUCAAACCAGACCCCAACACUUAUAGCAAAUACAAUCAAUAAAUACAUAUGGACCCCAUAUAGUCAAAUUCAGAAUUGAGGCUGUCCAAAGUGCAACAACUGCUCCAAAUACCCCAAGCAAGUCAAUUAGAGGCAACCGACUUCAACAAACAAAUGCAAACGGCUCAUUCAUAUCCCAAUUCAACAAAUAAACGCAGGAAAAUAGCCACAAUACUAGAGCACAGCUCCGAAUAAUGCAACAGAACAACAACUCGAACAAACUAGGAACUGUGCUAGUGUCUUAAUAAAUCAACAACUUUCAGCAAUUAGACACAAUCGGACCCAAUAUCGUAACAACUGUCUCUAAUUGGACAGUCAAUUACCCACUUCAACCUGCUAAAAUUAGCAAUUGACCCAAGAAAAUGGCAACUCCAGCAGCAGCAGUUCAGAAGUUGACAAAAACGACUCAAUACAGGUGCCCAGUAGUCAAUGAGACAACCAACAGCACAGGAGUAACAAAUAUGCAGGAAACCACCCACACCAGUACCACUGGUGGACGCGCAGUAAAAAAAAAAAACUAAAUCAAAUGCCCAACAAAUCAAUGAAUAUCAGAGAAUGUUCCCGCACAUAGCAGCAAUUGAACCCAAAUUUCAGAAAGUGAAACUAAUUGGGGAAGAAAUCACAAUACCUCCACCUGUCUUAAUUGGACAGGUGGCGACGUGCGGCAAUGGAGCUGGUGGUGCCAAUGGAGGUUGACAUGCCUGCGGCUGCGCGUGGCGCUUGACUGCUGGCUGCACGCGCGAAUGUCAGCUGUCUCCAAGCUGUGGAAGAGGAGCUAGCAGCUGAGAGGUGGAGAAAGAAGAGCUCGCGUGUGGCGGUGGAAGAGACGCGGGCAGGCGGGCCCGUGAGCUGGUGGUGGCGCGGCUGCGGUCGUUGGCGCGAGGUGAGGCGGAGCUGAUGCAGAGAGAGACGCGCGAGCUGGUGCCUCGCGCGUCGUGGGCUGGUGCCUCGCGCGUCGUGGGCUGGCGGAGUGGAUGGGUCAACACUGGUGGCGCCCGGCUGGAGAAGGAGAUCGGCGGGGAAGUGGAGCUGCGGGCUGGACGGCGCACGUCACUGUGGGCUGCAGGUGGCGGCGGCGUCUGGUGGAGGGACAGAGACGAGGCUCGCGGGCUUGGAGGAGGAGCUAGUUAGAGUUGUGGCGACCGUGGAGCCUGGCCAAGCGGCGGCGUGCUUUGGGUGAUGAAGAGGAGAAGGUGCUGCGGCAGACAAAGAGAAAAGAAGGAAGAAGAAGAAAGAAAAAGAAAAGAAGGAAAAAGAAAAGAAAAAAGAAAAAAAGAAAGAAAAGAAAAAAGAAGUAGGGCUAUGUUUUUUUUUUUUUUUGUUUUUUUUUUGGAGUCAAGUAACCUUUGGCUAAGGCGUGGGCACGCCUAACUGCUAUGGAGUUCGCAGAUCCUAACAAAAAUUGCUUUCCCUCAGGCGUGACCACUUGGCAUGGGCACGUCUAACUGCUAUAGAGUCCGCAGAAUUUGAACGAAAAUUUCUUUCCCUCAGGCGUGACCACCUGGCGUUGGCACGUCUAACUACUAAUUUCCUGCCACCAAACAUCAAAUUAUUAAUUGACACUAACACUUAACUAAAACUUCAAAAAUGCAUGAAAACUGAAACAAAUAGUCUUGGGUUGCCUCCCAAGUAGCGCCUUUCUUUAAUGUCUUUGGCUAGACAUUGCCAUAUUUAUUCAUGGAGGAUAAAAUCGUGUAGCUCGCUUCAGUGCUUCAUCUUCUAUGUAAUCCUGAUAGCCCUCGUAAAUAGAGUAAUUCUUGAGCACACGAGCUACGGUCUUCCAUGGGCUAGUAGAUGGCGCCAAACAAACAAGUGAUGAUCUUAAAUCUUCACUCACUCCUCCAUCACAAGCAUUUACUGGUUUGAGAUAUAUUGCCAUCAUGACUCUUAACUUAUUCCUGGCAUGAAAUUCAAAAUCGUCUGGUAUAAUAAAAUCAAUCUCACUAACAGGAAUUAAAAAAUAAGAGUCAGGAAAAUAUUGAUUAAAGAAUGGAGGAGAUGUCACCGCAUUUGGAGAUUGUUCACUGGAUUCAUUCACUUGAACCAUUUGAUGUUGGGGUCUCAAUUCUUGCGCUUCAACUUUCUUUUUAACUACAUCUUUAGAUUCUUCUUCUUGAGACUCUUGCAGUACCAUGUCAUUUGUCAGAAUAAUUGCAUUCUCAUCUUCCUCAUGGUCGAUAAUAGUCAGUGAGGGCAAUUCUUCAUAAACUGGAGAAAUCAAUUUGCUCAUUUUAGAUGCCCAUUCACGCCUUCCUUCUUUCAUCUCUUCACUCAUCUUUUGUGUCUCCUGUUGAAGUUGAUAUACCUCCUGUUGAAGUUGAUAUACCACCUGUUGAAUUUGAUAUGUGUUAGUAGCUAUUAAUUCAACUAUUUCUUCAAGAGACAUACCUGACAUGGAUGACGGUUCUUGAGACUCAUACUGCUGAAAAUUCAUUGGCCCCGUUGUAUAAUUAUAACUGGAGUUAUCCCACCAUCCUUGAUCAUACCCAUUUGGAUUAGGGUUAUACCACGUUUGAGACCAUGGUGAAAAUUCUCCAUAAUUAUCGAAUGGGACACUCAGAUCAUCUUGAUAUUCGGAGCACACACCAGUUGAAUGAUCCUUGGCAAAACAAAUUUUACAUGUUGCAGCAGCCAUUCUUUUUCUAAUAGAGUUUACUGCCUCUGCAUAUGCCAACUUAGCCCAAAAACUAGUCUCAUCGCCCUCCUCGGAAGCAAAAUCCAUUAUAUCACCAAAAUACGGAGUGUUAGAAGCCAUAAACUAUAUAAAAAAAAUAAGAGAAAAAUAAAUAAUAAAAAAAAUGAAAACAAGAUGAACUCAAAAGGAAACAAAUUAAUCUGGCACCAGUCCCCGGCAACGGCGCCAAAAAUUGACAGGUGCCGAACCUGUGCAAUAAUAAUAAAUAAAUCCUAACUACCACCUGAAACAGUCAGUAAUCAAUUCGAGUACUGGAGCAGGGACUCUAGGUGUGCAAUGGGUUACUUGAUUCACCCUGUUCCCGAAGAGUUUGCUUAAUCCGAUAUACCUGAAUUAAUUAUUUAACUGAAUUCCCUAACUAGUAGACAGUGAUAAGCAGGGUCGUCUCCUCAGGGACUGGAGAGAUAUUUGUUUCUUUUCAAAUCAAGAUUAAUGGGGGGGUUUUGGUAUCAAAAGCCAACUGAACAAAUUAAAUGCAGAAACUAAUUAAUUAAAAGAAAUAACUAAGAGAAACUCUAGCCAAGGGUAUACUUCAGAAAUGGUUCAUGCACUGAUCAUUGAUUCAAAGGUAAUUCCAACAUUUAUUAAUAGAGUGAUUAUAGUUGUCUCGCACGCGCUAAACAACCAACCCUUCCUUAAUUUAUCGAUAGCUAAGGUACGACCGUUAACUAUUUCCCUAACCCAAAAACAACCCUAGGUACGACCGUAGGAUUUAAUUUUCUGGUUUGCAUUAGUAAUUAGAAAGGCCCAAUCCUAAUUAACAAACACGCUACGAGGGUUUGUUUAAAUUAGAUCAUAUGUUCCCCUGACAUAAAUCCAAUUACGCCAGUUGCUACUGGGAUAGAGAUAACGAACAAUUACGGAUUCAAUUAUCCCUAUUUAGCAAAAUAGUCUAUGUGAACAAUUAAUUAUUGCGCAUUAAUCAAUCAUACACAAGAGCUAUAACAGUUAAAAGCAGGAAACAUAUGAAUACCAAUAAAUGGAGGAAACAAUUAAAAUAAAUUAGAUCUCACAGUAAUUGUUGAACCAAAUCUUCAGUUGUCCCCUUGACUAGCAGUAGGAGGUUAGUCCUCCAUUAAUGGAGAACAACCAUGCGAAAGAGCUAAGAAAAGAGAAUCUAAAACUAUGAUAAAAGCCUAAACUAAAAAUUGGAGAUGCCGAGAGAGAGAGAGCGAGCCCCCCCUGAAGCCAGCGAAGGGAUUGUAUUUAUAGAGUCCUCGUGCGGCUGUCUCCAAAAGAGACCCAGUAGUCUUCCUACUUUUGUGGGCCAGCACGUUUAGUCAAAGAAGGAACCCAAUCAAGUGAAAUCCAAUUGAAGUCUUGUUGCCAAAUGACUCUUCACGUGCAAAUUGGCUAAGUCAGCAUUGUUCCAGAAUUGUCACCCGCGAAGGAAUCUCCAAAUAUUUGGAAGUUUGCACGUGGCCAACAAUCCCGCAAAUCCGGCUUUGGACAUCAUACUUAGGCGUGCCCACGUCUAACUGACAGGAAGGCUUCAAAAGUUAAUUUUUCAGCUCCUUUUGCCCCUAAAUGCUGCAAUUCGCAUAGAACACAAAAUCUUAGUAAAAUCCACCGAUUAGUGCAGUAUUUAGUCCAAAUAAAUAGGAAAAGAACGUGAGAAGACCGACUAAAUUGCACUCUAUCAGCCGGCCUCCGUCUCUCAAUUCCUCACUUUCUCUACGAAAUCCUGACCUUUUGGGGAAUUCGAAUAAUCCAGCUCGUCCCCAAUGCAGUCAGAUCGAUACUAGGCUUCUUCAUCUUGUGCCGCCUUCUUGAGAUCCCCUACUCCCUGGACCUGUUUAGGUCAUUCUUUCAGAUGAAGGUCAGUGGACCAGUUCACGGUUGGUUCUACUUCGCUCGUAGGAGCGGGGGAGAGCUCCCGACCCGUGAGCUGUUCACGCAAGCCUCUUCCUCCAUUAAGGGCUGGAAGGCUCAGUUCUUCUACGUGAAGAACACAGGCUUUCCUCCUUGACCUGGAGGGAGGAGACCCAGGUAUCCGACCCUACUCCUUCACCUCUGCCAACGGUCGAGCUAGACCGCCUGGUUAGCUCGGGAGCUAGGUUGAAGGUGAAGGAAUUCAACAACGCCCGAACUCUGGUCUGCGGGGCUGAUUCAGGCAGAGGUGAACGACCCUGCCCCCGAUCUCCGACCUCUCACCUCCGAGGAGCUGGCAACUCGUAAAUUCUUGUUCUCAUCUCCUUUCUUCUUUUUCUGCGAGCUCGACUAUGUUAUUUGCACUGACUUUUUUUCUUCGUCUUGUAGUGAAUAGAUUCUCCCAACUACUGAAUAUAGGGGGAACAGGCAGCUCUAGCAUACCUGCCACCGUACCGCCUGCUGCACCGGACAGCUCGGGCCUUGCCGCUCCCCCUCCUGCUCCAGCCCCCCAGGCCCCUGCUCAGUCCUCUCUUACUGAGGGGGCCAAGAAGAAGAGGAAGAAAUCCACGGCCAAGAGAGCCUGAACCGAGAUCAUCUCUUCCCCUGCCCAAGCGCUGCAACCAACGUCCACUGAUGCCCCCUGGAGCACUAUGGGGUAAACUCAGUCGAGCAGCAGGCCUCGUCAGAGUCACCGCCUGCUAUGUGGCGCCAGAGGAACGUGAUUCCUUUGAAGCCUCCCUCCCAGCUGAGUGCCCAUCCGUGACCUCGUGUCAGCCCGAACGUGAUCAAGUCAGUAGAGUUUAAGAGUAGGACAACAAUAGAGAGUACUGUGGAUGGCGUACCUUGUAUUGUCGUGUGAUGCGGUAUUUAUAUGCUUCAGGGUAGUGGUUUCCAUAUAGGAGUAAGAGUCCCCUUAGGGUUCGGAGUCCUUCUAGGGUUUCGUAUGACAACCCCUAAAGGUUCGGAGGCGGCGGCCCACUAGACCCACUCUAGGGAGAGGCGGCGGUAGUGGCCGAGCUGACCUCCCUCUAAAUCGAGCUGAGGCGUCUGAGCUGGGAGACCUCUAUUGCUGACCUCAUGUGUGCUAGAGCCGAGUUGACACGUAUCACAUGUGGAUUGGCCCUACUACACUAUCCCCCUUUGAAUCUAGAGUCACCGAGAGGUCGAGUGAGUCUGGACCAAAUUACGAGGCGUCGGGUCGGUUCGGCGUAGGGUCCACGAUCCCAUAGCUAUGCCUCUUGUUCGAAUAACUGCCACGUCUACUGUCGUAACUGUCGCUUCAAAGGUCAUGUCCUCUUGCAAUGGCGGUUAUCAGCUCAACCGUCUUCCAAGGUGACAGUUUCUUAGCAAUAAAUUUGAAAUUUCAAUUCGGGACUCUUCGUCUUCCCGUCCAGAUAGCCUAUAAAUAGACCCCAUCAAACGUUACUUUCAAGCUUCAUUCCUCACUUUUUCUCCUUCUAAAUCUCCAUCAGCUCGCUCCGCGCUUAGUGAGUUCGUCAGAGAGUAGCAUCUCCUUCUAAGCACCUACCAGCUCUUCUCCCUUAUCCGCUAGUAAGUCUUCUUUCUCUUUUAUGUCUUCCUCUUCCACACACUCAGACUUCAAUAGCUCGACACCUAGGCGUAGAGUAGUCCGACCUGCCCCCAUAGAUAUAAUCUCUUCUUCUUCUAGCUCCUCAUCCUCUAGUUCAUCUGGGUUUGAGUACUACCUUUCCCAAUACAUUCUCCAACCCACAACAUGGACCAACUGGACCAACCUGCCCAACCUGACACUGGAGCUGCUGCCCCAGUAAUUCCACUGGAAGCAGUCCUAGGUCGCGCCAGGGCAGGUCUCUCUAGGGGGCCUGACAUCGACUUCGGGGAAGUCGAGAUCAUCCCCCCCUCUUGGACCAAGAGGACAAAAACGAGUUGGUGGGGAAGUAUGAUAUUCCUUCCCAGUUCUAGGCUAGGGCUGCCCGGCCAGGGGAGUACGCGUGUCGACCUCCUCCUGAGUCUGUGGCCAUAUAUAGAGAUCAGCUCGUAGCCGCCCUCCGUCUCUCAAUUCCUCACUUCCUCUACGAAAUCCUGACCUUCUGGGGAAUUCGAAUAAUCCAGCUCGUCCCCAAUGCAGUCAGAUCGAUACUAGGUUUCUUCAUCUUGUGCCGCCUUCUUGAGAUCCCCUACUCCCUGGACCUGUUUAGGUCAUUCUUUCAGAUGAAGGUCAGUGGACCAGUUCACGGUUGGUUCUACUUAACUCGUAGGAGCGGGGGAGAGCUCUCGACCCGUGAGCUGUUCACGCAAGCCCCUUCCUCCAUUAGGGGCUGGAAGGCUCAGUUCUUUUACGUGAAGAACACAGGCUUUCCUCCUUGACCUGGAGGGAGGAGACCCAAGUAUCCGACCAUAUUCCUUCACCUCUGCCAACGGUCGAGCUAGAUCGCCUGGUUAGCUCGGGAGCUAGGUUGAAGGUGAAGGAAUUUAACAACACCCGAACUCUGGUCUGCGGGGCUGAUUCAGGCAGAGGUGAACGACCCUACCCCGAUCUCCGACCUCUCACAUCCGAGGAGCUGGCAACUCGUAAAUUCUUGAUCUCAUCAUCCUUUCUUCUUUUUCUGCGAGCUCGACUAUGUUAUUUGUGCUGACUUUUUUUCUUCGUCUUGUAGUGAAUAGAUUCUCCCAACUACUGAAUAUAGGGGGAACAGGCAGCUCUAGUAUACCUGCCACCGUACCGCCUGCUGCGCCGGACAGCUCGGGCCUUGCCGCUCCCCCUCCUGCUCCAGCCCCCCAGGCCCCUGCUCAGUCCUCUCUUACUGAGGGGGCCAAGAAGAAGAGGAAGAAAUCCACGGCCAAGAGAGCUCGAAUCGAGAUCAUCUCUUCCCCUGCCCAAGCGUUGCAACCAACGUCCACUGAUGCCUCCUGGAGCACUAUGGGGUAAACUCAGUCGAGCAGCAGGCCUCGUCAGAGUCACCGCCUGCUAUGUGGCGCCAGGGGAACGUGAUUCUUUUGAAGCCUCCCUCCCAGCUGAGUGCCCAUCCGCACCCCCUACAUUUUUGCCCUAAAUGGGGGUUAUCGGUGAAUGACCGAACUCAAUUUUCGGAAGCAGCUCGAGAGCUCCUCAGGGGCACAAUGCUCCCGCGCGAUCAUCACUACAUUCGACUUGCGUCCAACUCCGAACUGCUGGAGCACUACUACCUUAGCGCGGCUCAGGUAACUCCUCAACUAGCGGCAUUUUAUUGGUAUUUCCUUGACCUAUUGAUCCUCACCUUGAGUUUAACUGGCAUCUUAACGUGGCUGGUGCUGAGCUGUCACAGAGGUAUGAAAACAUGGGAGAGAAUCUCUCCCAAGCUGAUGCGGCCAAGGACAGGCUGUCCAGUCAGCUUUAGGCAGCUGAAACAGAGCUGGAAUCCUUGAAGAAGCAGCUCGCCGAAACCUAGUCUGCCUGCGAGUUGGAGAAGAAAAGGGCAGCGAAACUGACCUCGCAGCUAGAUACUGAGUAGAGGAAAUUUGCUGAGCUACCUGGUCAGAUCGAAGCUGCUCGUGAGGAAGGUCGCCAACUCGGCAUCAAGGACUUCAAAAAAUCUGAGGGCUUCCUGAAAGACCUGGCCCUCCUCAACGGGCCAAUCCUGCAAGUGGGGUAUGCUCAGGCAAUGCACGACGUGCAGUCCCUGAACCUGCUUGAGUUUGACUUGGGCAGGUAGCCUGAAUACAACUCUCAAGCCAUCCACCAAAUCGAUAGGCUCGUGGAGGGCUAUGUGCAUGGGUGCGACCUGACCAUCCUGAUCGCCGACCCUACUUUGGCCGCGACCUCUCCUGAGCUCGAGUAGGAGCAGCAGGGGGAAAAUUAGGGAGCGCUUAGCAUAGGCGUAGAUAGGGAUUAGAGCAGGGUAGGAACUGAACUGGCCAACUCGUUUUUGUAUGGCCCCCCUUAUGUACAUAUCUUUUUGAAAUGGAAUAGAUGGUCUUUUCAUCAAACACUUAGUAAAAAUUAUUUAUUUCUUCAUAGGAUUUUGAAUACAUUCUUACGACUCCAAGUAUCGAGCUAUCAAAAUGCCGAGCUGACCUCUUCAGCUGUUACUAAGUAAAAGACUACCUAGUUCACACUCUCCAGCUCGGGCAGAGCUCUAACGAAAGAGCCUUAAAUUUGAAUUGUGCCAGGUGCGCGGGACUUCAUCCCCAUUGAGAUGAGCUAGCUUACAGUACCUCGCACGAUCAGUUUCUUUCACCACGUAGGGACCCCUCCCAAUUUGGAUCUAACUUGCCCGUGCCCCCAACUCGACUUACGGAGUUUCUGCGUAAUACAGAUCCCUCGGUCUGAAGGAGAGGUGCCUGACUCUAGCGUUGUAGUACCGCGCGACCUGACCCUUGUAUUUAGCCAUUCUUAUGCACGUUUCUUCCUUACGGUGCUUGAGCAGGUCUAAGUUGAACCGCAUCUCCUUCUCAUUAUUCUGGGCCACAAAAUGUUGCACCCUGCUUGAGGGUACUCCGAUUGCUGCCGGGAUUACUGCUUCAAUCUCAUAUGUCAGGACGAACGGGGUUUCCAGGGUGGCUGUCCGAGGUGUAGUCCGGUAAGCCCACAGUAUGGUGGGCAGCCCAUCCAACCACCCUGUUCGAACAGAUUCUAUUCGUGUCUUCAACCCGUGCAGGUUGGUUCUAUUAGCAUUCUCGACCUGUCCAUUAGAUUGUGGGUGCCCCACGGAAGUGAAGUGCUGCUAGAUGCCGAGCUCAGAGCACCACUUCUGGAAGAAACUGUCCACGAACUGUCGGUCAUUAUCUGAGACUAGGAUCCGGGGUAUGCCAAAUCGACAGAUUAUGUUCUUCCAAAGGAAUUUCUGAAUCAACCUGCUAUUGAUUGUGCUAAGUGGUUCGGCCUCUAUCCUUUUAGUAAAGUAGUCAACAGCUACCACAAGAUGCUCAUAACCUCUUGGAGCUCGGGAAAAUGGGCCUAGCAGGUCAAUCCCCCGUUGGAAGAACGGCCACGGGAUAUGGAGAGGAAUCAUCUCGAGUUGGGCAUGGUGAAUUGGUGCGUGCAACUGACAAGACUUACAUCUGGCAUUCUGGCCACCAGCUUAGCUGAGUCUCGGAAGAUGGUGGGUCAAUAGUAUCCAGAUAACAUUUCCUUCUUGGCCAAUACCCUUGGUUCGACGUGAUUACCACAGAUGCCCUCAUGCAACUCGCGCAAGACAUGCUCCCCUCCUCUGGCGUUACUUACUUUAGCCAUGGCUGCAAGUAGGAUUUUAUAUAUAGUACUCCCUGCGUGAGCAUGUACUUCUGUGACUUGAGAAAGAUUUUGCGGGCCUCUGUCCUGCUCGGGGGAGCUCUCUAUGAUCUAGGUAUUGGACAAUGGGGUCCAUCCAAGAGCUCAUCACCUGAAUGACUGUGGCGUUUAACUGCUCAUACGCCCGACUUUUAACGACCUCCACCCAUAUCUCUCGAUUUAGAGUGCUAAACGAGGUAGAUGCCAGCUUGGACAGGGCAUCAGCUCUCUUGUUUUGGUUUCGUGGGAUCUGCUCGAGAAUGAACUGCUUGAACUGGUCCCUUAAUUCAUGUGUUUUGGCAACGUACUUCCUCAGUGGCCCCUCUAUAACCUCGUAGCUCCCCCAUACUUGGUUCACUAUCAGCUGCGAAUCGCUGUAGACUUUUAUUGAUUCAGCCCCUAAUUUUCGAGCUAUCUCCAUCCCCGCAAUCAGGGCCUUAUACUCAGAUUCAUUAUUAGAGGUUCUAAAAUCGAAUCUCAAGGCGUAGGCCAGUUCUUCUCCUGUUGGGCUGAUUAGAAGAAGACCUGCUCCACAUCCUUCCUUGCUUGAUGCACCGUCAACGUACAGCGUCCAGACUGGACCUGUUCGUCCUGCAGCCUCUAUAGCCUUUCUGGUUUGAGCAGUCCAUCUGGCCAGCUCGGCCUUGACUGCUCCUCCAGAAUGCGCGAUCUCGGCAGCUUCUCUGGCCUGUCCGACCUUAGUAGCCUCUCUGACCUGCUUGGCCUCAGCAGCUUCUUGGGUCUGCCUGGUCUCAGUUACUUCUCUGGCCUGUUCGACCUCAGCAGUCUUUCUGGUCUGUCCGACUUUAGUUGCCUCUCUGGCCUGCUCGGCCUCAGUAGCUUCUCGGGUCUGCCUGGCCUUAGCUACUUCUCUGGCCUGUUCUGUUUGGCCUCAACUGCUUUUCCGACCUGUUCGACCUCUGCUAUCUUAUUGGCCUGGGCGACCCUGGCAGUGUCUUUAACCUGCAAGAUCUCAACUGCCUUUUGGGUCUGUGUGGUCUUGGUAGUUUCUUGGACCUGUAAGGCUUUGGCUGCUCGUCUGGUGCGUGCGUUCUCAGCAGUUUCUUUGACUUUCCCGGCCUUACUUGCUUCCUUGGUUUGGUCAACCUUAGUCCCGGGAAAUCCAAAGAAAACGCAUUCUACUAUGAAGUCUGCCAAGACUUGGGAUUUGAUGGCCGUCCUCGGCUGGUAUCCGAGAUCGUACUCUGACAGCUCUACGUCCCAUUUCACCAUUCAUUCCGAGACAUCGGGUUUAGAGAGGAUCUGUUUCAGGGGUUGGUCCGUCACCACUAUUAUGGGAUGAGCUUGGAAGCACGACCUGAGCUUCCGAACUGCAUGAACUAAUGUCAAGACAUAUCAUUCUACCGUCGAAUACCUCACUUCGGCCCCCUGUAGGGCGCGACUAACAUAGUAUACAGGUUUUUGGACUUUGUUUUCCUCUUGUACCAGCACCGCGCUAACGGCCUCCUCCCCCACAGUUAAAUAGAUGAACAGGGUUUCACCAUGCUCUGGAGAAGUUAGGGCCGGCAACCGAGUAAGGUGGGUUUUUAGCUCAUCGAACGCUUUUUGGCACUCCGAUCUCCACUCGAAUUGCGAACCUCCUCUUAGAGCUUUAAAGAAAUGGGAGUCCCAAACUGCUGAUUUAGACAAGAACCUGUCCAAAACCGCCAUCCUUCCAGUCAGGCGCUGUACCUUCUUAACAUUUCGAUGAGGAGCCAUGUCUAUGAUGGCCUUGAUUUUGUCCAGGUUAGCUCUUACCACUUCUUUGGAAAUCAUGUAACCUAAAAAUUUUCUCGACCUAACCCCAAAGGUACAUUUCUUAGGGUUUAGCCGCAUCCAUGAGCUCCGAAGGACAUCGAAGAUUUCCCUAAGAUUAGCAAUGAACUGUUCUUGAGUCCGACUCUUCACCAACAUGUCAUCCACGUAGACCUCCAUAUUUCGACCGAUCUGAUCCUUAAACAAUCUAUUGACCAGCGUCUGGUAGGUCGCGCCUGCAUUCUUUAGCCCAAACGGCAUGGUGACAUAACAGUCAGUUUCGUUCUCAGUCAUAAACGAGGUCUUUUCCUGAUUCUCCUCAUCCAGUGUUAUUUGAUGAUACCCUUUGAAGGCGUCCAAAAAAUAAAAAAUCUCAUAUUCCGAGGUUGAAUCCACAAGCUGAUCAAUUUGCCGGAGGGGGUAGCAGUCCUUUGGGCAGACCUUAUUUAAGUUAGUGAAGUCCACGCACAUCCUCCAAACUCUUUCUUCCUUCUUGACCAGCACCGGAUUGGCCAGCCAUGUCGGGUAAUAGACAUCUUUCACGAUCUUGGUUUCUAACAGCUUGCCUACCUCACUUUUGACGGCCUCGUUUCGUUCAGGCGCAAAGUUCCUCUAUUUCUGUUUUACUGGUCGGACGUUGGGGUCCACGUAUAGCUUGUGAACCGCUAGCUCGGUGGGGAUUCCAAGCAUGUCAUCAGCACUUCAAGCAAAUAUUUUCGCAUAUUCUUCUAAAAGGGAUUCUAUAGAGUUCUGGGUCAACUCGCUGAGGCAGGUGCCGACCUUAACCGUACACUCAGGUCGGUUUGGGCGGACGGGCAGCUCAACCAGCCCCUUAUCCGUCUCCAGUCUCUCUCUUUUCUCCAUGGGCUCCCAGGGCUCCAAACAAGUUGUUUGAACUACCAAUUUUUCCUUGCCAUUGAGAGUUGCAAUAUAACAGGCUCUAGCCACCUCCGGAUCUUCGAGCACUUCAACUACCCCAAUAGGGGUAGGAAAUUUCAUGCUGAGGUGCAAGGUGGAGCAGACAGCCCAGAGGACGUUCAGGGUGGGUGGUCCCAGAAUCAUAUUGUACGAUGAGGGCCCUCUUACCACCGUGAAAUUCACUGGCACAGUUCGACACUUUGGUGACACCCCCACCAUGACCAUGAGAGUUAUCAUUCCCUUCGGCCUCACCGGAGGACCAACAAAUCUGAUCAAUGGAGUUCAGACUGAGAUGAGCUGUCUGUCCUCCAGCUACAGCUCUUUAAAGGUCUUGUAGUACAGCACAUCGAUGGCACUGCCAUUAUCAAUGUAUACCUUCUUCACUUUGUAGUUGCAGGUUGUGAGAACCCAUAAAUUUCUCUUAAUAAUUUUCUUAGGGUUUAUCCCCUUUAAUGGCAUGUUUUCUGCAUUUUCUGGUUUAGGAAAAAUUUUUCUGGUGAAUUUUAUGAGUAAUUAUGUUUUUAGAUGAUUUUUUAGUAUUGGAGAGUUUUUGAAAAACUAAGGAUAUAUAACGGAUGUGGGAUCCACUAGUGCGAAAAGUUCGGAAAAAUUCGGUCAAUUAGGUUAAGUUUCGGAUACUGGUUGAAAUUUAUCGGGUGUUAAGAGAUAAGUAGAGGUUGAGAUGUGAUUGAUGUGAGAGAGACUUAAAGGAUAGAAAUGCUUUAAAUAUAGUGACAAGUGUCACUUGGUGAAUGGUGGCACUUGUAGGACAACUAUUCAUUUUCUUGACUUUUUGACCAAUUGCUUAAAUAUCUCAAAAAUCACACAAAAUUCAUUCUUGUCUUCAACUUCUUGGCCGGCUCUCUCUCUAGGAAAAGAAAGAAAACUUCUCCAAUUUUCAAGCUUCCAACUAACUCAAAUCCUCCAAAACAAUUGCUUAAAUUUGUUUCUACUCCAUAAAAUCCCUCCAUUUGGUGCUAGUAAGUGAUUUUGUGGAAGUGUUCAAGGAAGCUAAGGUGUCCUACAACUCUCCCUCUCUUGUGUUCUAGGUAAGUGGUGUUUGAACUUCCUCCUACACUUAAUGAAGCUUGAGUUGUGCUUAGUGGAAGCUAAAGUGAUGACCUUUGUGAUUUAUUUCUUGCUUUUGGAUGAAAUGAUGAAGUUUUCAAUUUAAUGGUGAUUUUUCUGGUUUAAUUUGAUCAUGAGGUUGUGGCUGUCCAUGAUGGUUGGAAAUGAUGUUUUAUGACUCUAUUAGAUGUAAAUGAUUGGUAAUUGUAACCAAUUUUGGAUUUGGAAGGAAACGUGAGAAGUUAGGGUUUCAUAACCCCAUUUUCUGUCCGAUUUUGUAUCAUAUGGUUAGAGGUGAAUUGGCCUUUGCUUAAAACAUAAAAGUUAUAGGUAUUGAUGUGUUUGAGGUGCCUGUAAAAUUUCAGGUCAUUUGGAGUAGUGUAGAGUGAGAAAUGUCGAAAUUACUAUUGCUGUUCUGGGUUCAUCAGGAUGGCAGAACUGCGCCUGUAAUUGGCUGUGUUGACUGGAAUUGCUUUGGAUUUGGUUGUUGAGGCCUUCUGAUGAAAUGUAGCUUGAUGUCUUAGCUACCGCAUGCCUUUGGAAUCAAUGAAUUUGGACUUGUAUAGACUGAGUUGGACUAAUUACAGCAUAGUGUAAUUUGUAAACCUGCAAUUAAGGUUCUGGUUUGGUAUCUUGCAUAUUUGACCUGGUUGUGAUAGGAAUUGGACUGAGUGACCUUCUACAUUGUUGUAGCCCUGGUUCUUAGCUUCAAAACGGUGGAUCUUACACCCUCAUCUGAUAAUCGUAGUGAAAUUGGUACCAUUACCGCAAAAUGAGGAUAAAAACUAUUUUUUUUUCAGGACCAAAGUUAAUUGCAUUUCCGGAUUUUCUGGUUACCUAUGAUACUUGUAUAUGCAUAUGAAACCCUAUUGGGGUUGUGAUUGGCAUUGCUUUAUGACUCGUUAUCGAGUCUCAUUGUACUUGUUUACGUGUUCUAGGGCGUGACGGUGGUUCACGACAUUCUCUUGACGGAAGUGCAUGAAACAACACUUAAUUGAUAAGUGAGUAUACUACUCACUUGAAUGUUACAAUGUGGCUUUGCUAUAUGUGAUUUUGAUGCCUUGAAAGCUUAUUUGGCUAUUGGAAUUGAUUGAGGUGAGGGUGUACUUGACCGUCCUCAUCCCUUGUGAUACCGUUAAUGACUGUUUACCGCUUCACUGAUAUACUGCACUUGCUAUAUGAGAUAUUGAAUUCACUUCAUGAAAAACUGAUUUGAUGUCGUUUGGACGAGUAUCCAACGGCCUUACUGUACUACUGACCUCAACCUCGUUGGUAGUCAAUUGAAUCGAGCCGGCGAGGGCUUGGUCGUGAAAAUUGACAUGCCACGGGGACUGUAUUGGGGAAUCUUGUAGUAUUGAAACUCUUGAUUUCGGUAAACUCGAGUAUUACCAAAAGCUACUGAUUGGAGUGCGGGCCUGGUUGGGGUAUGUUUGGUGGAAGGGAUGGGAGUGAAGUGGGUUCUACGGUUGGUACUCUUAAACGUUGACGGAGAAUCAAUGAGAUUGGAUCAAGAAUGUAAGCGUGGAAAUGGGCUCUUGAGAGCCGUCCGUAUCCUUUUACCGACUUGUUUUACUCUGUAAUUGUGUACUUGAAAUGAAAGGUUAUGCUAUAUGCUCUUUGUUGCUUAUGUGGUAGUAACUCACUGAAUUUAAGCUCAUUCCGUUCCAUUUGUUUUUCUUAUAGGAAAUGACCACUUUUGGAAAAGGUUGUGUUAGUUGGUUGUCAAGUUGAGCUUAUGUAAAUGUCUUUUGAAUAGCUCUUUGAAUGAAACCCUAAUGUGCAUUGGGUUCAUUCUCUUUUGAUUGGCAAACCGAACAUGUAUAUCCAUGAUGAAUCGUUUUGAUAUGCCGCUUUGGUUUGUAAAUGUUACAUUUCAAUGUAUGUAUGUUUGGUUGAUAUUUGGUUGGAUUUCGGAUCAACUCGUAUUUCAAACGGCAAAAGAAAAAUUUGGCUACUCUCGGCCUAGUAUCCGGAGUCGGACGUGGCCGGUACAGUUCAUCAUCGGUUUCGAUUUUUUUCAUUUUUUUUAUUUUGUGAUUUUGACUUGGUUGCGCGCAUUGGUAAGUUCCGGAACGUAUUAGAUCGACGUAAACUGAUCCGUUAGUCCUGGCGAGAGUUGGGCAGGCAGUCCGCUAACCCCUUUGGUUCGCCUUAGGGGAAGGUGGGGCUGUUACACAGGUAAUGACCUCUAUCACGAUGGUUUCGUGGUUAUUAGAGGCCAGAGGGACUGCAUCUUCAGGUCCAUAAAUGAUUUUCUCGUACAUCUUUAAUCGUUUGCUUGAACUCUCCCCAUUGGGAGGAGGGCGGUUGUGACGCUGAGCUGUAUGGCUAUCCCCUCCAACCGGUUCUCCCGCAAUAGUAUUGAUCACCCCGGCCAGAUUCUGACCCUCCUGCUCGAGAGUUCGGCCACGGGGCCCCUGAGAUCCGUCACGGGAGUAGCUCAGGUGCUCUGGUUUGGGCCUUCCCCGUCGCUGGUCAGUUCGCUCAUUACGUAUGAACUACCCGAGGUGGCCCAGUCUGAUCAACUUUUUAAUGUCUUUUUUGAGGUGGCGACAAUCCUCCGUAUCGUGUCCCACAUCUCGGUGAUACGCACAAUACAAACCCUGAUCCCGCCUGCUCUUGUCCCCGAUCAAGGGUCGGGGAGGUCGAGAGAGUUCUUCUUGUUUCAUCACAGCGAGUACCCGAGUUCGAGGUGCAGUAAGGGCAGUCCAGAACUUAUCUCCUCCCAUGGGGCGACUCCUGGGCAGGCGAUCGUAGGCGUUCUUCCGUUCCUGGCUGUGUCGCGCGUCCAUCUGGUCAGUGUUCCUUCUGCGCUUAUCAUCCCUUAACUUUUCCUGCGCGCUUUUCAGGCGAUUGGCCUCCUCCGUGUUGGCUUUUUCAUGAGCUCGGUCCAGCAUCUCGCGCACUGACUUGGGAGGUCUUUCCACGAGCUUGGUGUAGAGCUUCUGUUUUCGCAGCCCGUUGAUGAAUGCGGCCAUGACCACCUUGUCAUCCUGAUCGCGGAUCUGGAGGGACUCAUUAUUGAAACGUACCAUGAACUCGCGCAAGGAUUCUUCAGGUUUCUGCUGGAUGGUCAUCAGGUGAGCAGUGCUUUUGGAGAAGGCUCGCGACGAAACGAACUGUGCUGAGAAUAAUCGUGCGAGUUGGGCGAAGGAUCGGAUAGACCUGGGGGGAAGCCCCUGGAACCAUUGACGUGCCUUUCCCUCCAGGAACAUUGGAAAAGUCUUGCACCUGACCGCAUCCGCGGCCAUUUGCAAGCGCAUUUGCCUCAUGAAGGCGAACAGGUAAUCCUCCGGAUCCGUGGUUGCAUCAUAAGAUUUCGUGCUCGGUAUUUUGAAUUUCGCGGGCAACGGGUAGUCCUCAAUAUCAGGUACAAAGGAGGAAGCAAUAUACCUAUCUGCCUCAGGAUCCAACAGCAAGUCCAACUUGUUCUGCACCUGGUGCUGCUCUCUUCGCGGGGAGAGCUCUCCCCUGGAGUACCUCCGGAAGGGCUUCGGAUGCUUGGUUCGGUAGUGCUUGUGGGAUGACUCCAUAACUUCGAUCUAUUCACACGUGAGCUCCUGGCGCAUCCGCUUGGGCCGGGGGUUGGGUUCCCUGUUCGGGAUUCUGUCAGGCCAACUCCUUCCACCCCUUGGACCUUAGGCUCCUGGUCAUGAUGACCUCCCGUCCGCCCUUUGAGGUAGUCCAUGAUUGCCUCGAAAGUAGGUAGAUUUUUCGCCACCGUUUGAACUAACUGUUCAGGUAGGAUUUGUGACGGUCCCGUUCCCUCAUCUCUAGGAGUCGAACCCCGAGUGGGGUUUUAGGGGCCACUUUUCUGGUUCUCCUUAGAUCCGUCAGCGUUCAUCUGAAAUCUAGUUCUUGGCAUGAUUCGCAAGAAAAGAACUACGUGUUUCCCAAGAACACAGUCUGAGCUGAGUUGCUGCAGAUCGAGCUGGUUGGGAGCUGCCUAGCUGAGAGGGGAAUGCCGAGCUGAAUAUUAUGCGAAGAAAGAACGAAGGCGGGACUAGAGUCUCCGGAAUAGCUCCGACGAUCAAAUCAGUAGAGUUUAAAAGUAGGACAACAGUAAAGAGUACUGUGGAUGGCGUACCUUGUAUUGUCGUGUGGUGCCAUAUUUAUAGGUUUCAGGGUAGUAGUUUCCUAUAGGAGUAGGAGUCCCCUUAGGGUUCGGAGUCCUUUUAGGGUUUCGUAUGACAAUCCCUAAAGGUUCGGAGGCGGCGGCCCACUAGACCCACUCUAGGGAGAGGCGGCAGCAGUGGCCGGGCUGACCUCUCUCUAAACCGAACUGAGGCGUCCGAGAUGGGAGACCUCUAUUGCCGACCUCGCGUGUGCCAGAGUGUCACAUGUGGAUUGCACCCACUACAGUGUGCUUUUUUUUUUUUUUUUAUCUUUUUUCAUAUUUUUUUUAUAUGCUUUAAGGUCUAGAUAAGAUAUAAAUUAGAUAAUAGUGCUCUUUUGAGUUUCUAAUCUUUUUUAAAUGUAACUAUUAUAAAUAAUUCAUUUAUUAUUAUCAUCAUCAUCAUCGUCAUCUUAGAUAUAAACUGUGCAUAACACGGGUCAGAUUACUAGUUUUAUAUGUACUCUAGAAGGAUAUUUCGAUACCUAAUUCAUUGAAAAAAAUAUUUUACUUACGUUAUAAAUAUAUCUCUUAAUUAUAUUUUAAAAUUUAAAUUAUCUUUUUAUUUCACAUAAUUACAUACAUCUAUAAUGUUGUAAUAAUUUUUUUUUUCUAAGUGAUGAGCUAUACAAACACCUUAUGCUAAUAGAAGUUGGCAACGACGAGCCACUUUCCUAUAAAAAAGUCACGUGUCAUUGAUGGACGAUUUGUAACCGUUGCCUAUGUCAAAAACGUGUUGGUGAGUGAUGUGUGUCCUAGCUGGAUAAUUUGUAACUACUGUUACUGAUGUCAAAUUUUGUAUCCUCACUGGAUGAUCUGUAAUUGCUGGUGCCGAUGUUAGAAUUUUGUUGAUGAGCGAUCUGUAUCCUUACUGAACAAUUCUGUAACUGCUGGUACUGAUGUCAGAGUUACGUCGGUGAGUAAUCUGUAUAAAUUCACCUAUAGUCCAAGAGGUAUGUUUGACUAGUAAGAGUAACCGAAAUCGAAUCCGAAUCCGUCUAAAACAUUUUUUUACCAAAAAAUAAAUAAAUAAAACAAAAACCAUCAUGUUUUAAACGAUGUCAGAGCUGCUGUGUUGAUGACUAUAAAUCUAUAUAUGAUCCUAGAGGUAUGCCCCGAAAUCGAAUCCGAAUCCCUCUAAAUUUUUUUUUUUUUUAACAAAUAAAAAACACGAACACCUAUGUUUGAAAGGAAAUGUGUGGAACUUGGGAGUGGAAAUUAAAGAGAGAUUGGAAAAGCCUCUGGGCUUUGACUCAUAGAGACUCCUCGUCACCGUGCACAGCAGUAAAGUUCCUUUCUUUCCCUCCAAGCAUCCGGCGUCUCUCAAUUCUCCAGACCGACGCGAGAGAUGGGCGGCCAGGAUAAACCCCCAGGACCCGGACUCGAACCCGACAUACAGCCAUUACUGAACGCCUCCAAAUACUUCCUCUGUCACCGGAGCUUUUCCCAGAGCUUGAAAUACGCGGACAAAGCCCAACAAUCCAAUCCAAACCACCCUGGUCCGCCCCAAAUCCUCGCUAUAUCCACUGUUCUCUCGGCCACUCCGUCCUCGACCCGACCCGAACAGCCAGAAUGGUACUUAAUCAUCAACCUCCCUCGUUUUACUCAAGACCAGAAUCUGAUUCGGACCCGUUGUGCUUCGCUCGUCAACCUCUUAAACCCUGACACAAACCCUUACCCAUUUGCAGCCGAAGCCCGUGAUUGGGUUGUCAAAGCAGAAUCUGUUUUGUUUGACCCGGACGCGAAAGCCCAGUAUGAUAACGGAUUGAAAAUGACGCAAAAAAAUAGUGGAAAUGGCGGCGGAACUUUUUGGACUUUGUGUCCGUACUGUUACUUUAUGUAUGAGUACGAGAAAAUGUAUGUGGAUUGUGUCCUGAGGUGUCAGAAUUCCAAAUGCAGGAGGGCUUUCACGGCGGUGGCGGUUGCUGCUUCAGCCGCGCCGCCACCGGAGUUGGUGGAGGAAGGAAAGUACACCUGUUAUGGGUUUUCGCCGCUGGGUCCUAACAAUGGAAGUGGUGGUGACUCUGGUGAAGAGAGAGGGAAAAGUUGGUGGGCUCCAUUUGUAUCCAUGGGUCAAUAUCCGGGUCCAGUUCGGGCCAAUGAGGAAAAGGUGGAUGUGAGGACUAAUGUGGACUCAAAGAGUGAAAAGAGUAAUGGGUUUAUUGAAAUUUCCGAUGAUGAAACUGCAGGUAGAGAGAAAAUUGAAAGAGGGGGACAGGGAAACGGUGUUAAUAAUGGGAAGGUGGUGAUGAAGAGGAAAAAAAUGGCUGCUAUAGGGAAGAAGAAAUUGAUGGGAAAAGGGAUUAGAGUUGUUGGGAACCAUAGUUUAUCAGCGGAGGGUGGUGAAGGAAUAGGAUUUAAAGCUGGAGGGAACGAAGCAAAUGCGAAUACAAGUCCAGGGAAUGAAGCAAAUGCAAAUACAAGUGGAGGGGUAACGGAAGGCUGUAAUGAGGAGGAAUUGGAGUUUUGUGCUGGAGAUGAUGAUAUUUUUGUUGCUGUGAAUCCUUGGGCUGAUUUAGGAUGUGAAAAGCUUAGGAAUUGAUGAGAGAUGAGUUGGGGAUUUUGAACUCUGUUUAUAUGCACUGUUUUGCUAGCUGGGAGCCUUGGACAUGAUGGUGUACUAAAUGGCCAGUAAAGUUUUGUAACUGGUAGAAUCAUGUUGAUAAUCAUUAGAACUGGUAGAAGUGAAGAAGUAAUCCUGAAUAUGGUUCUUGAUAUCUUUGUGUGGCUGUCAUGUGGAUUCUUUUGCCGGUAGUAUUUGAUGUUUUGAAACAGUUAUAUGGCCAAUAGUAUGCUUGGUUUUAUCCAAAAGUAAGUUGGAAAAAAAAACAGAGAAAUGGAUCAUAUGAUUGGUUAUCUUUUUGUUUAUAGUUUGUUAUUGGCAUACGAGUAUUAAGUCAUAAGCAAGGAAACAAGAUUAAAAUAUUCUAGGUGCUUUAAUUUGAUUGCUGGGUUUUGGAUCUGCUCUGCUUUGCCGUCCAACUUCCCUAACAUUUCCCGCCAAUAUUUCUUCAGCAAUCAAAUUGGAUCUGAAUCUGCUCUGUUUUAAAGUCCAAUUUUUCUUAUAUUUCCUGUCAAUUUUUAUACUAUUCUAGCUGCUUUAGUUAGAUUGCUGGGUUUUGAUCUGCUCUGCUUUAGUGUCUAAUUUUCUUACGUUUCCUGUCAAUAUUUUAGAUUUUCUUUACCUUUGCCUUUUUCUUUGCUGAAUUGCAUUGUUUAUGUUUCUGGUCAUCCUUUUAGUGCUGAUGCUGAGGAUCUUUAAUGUCUGAAAAUCUUAGCCUAAAUUUCUCUAAAUUGGACAAGUCUGAAUGUUGGUGUAGCUGUAUAUCUAGGAUGCUAAAUUGAUGGGGAUUUGACUUGUCAAGUUGAGAAAAGAGGACAUGAACUCUUAAAACUGUCGAGUAUUUACAUUAUACUUGAAUUUUGGUUCUGUCCUGAGGUUUGGUGCAUUCUCCUUGAUUCUAAUAAAUUGGUGGUGGCUUAUCUAUCUUCUUCUACUUCUUGUUGGAAGGUCCAUUGUAACUUUUUGGUUAUUUAGGUUUGGAUUGCAUCAAGGGAUAUCCUGCAAUAUGGGGUUAUCUUUUAAUGAGAUACUGGGAUAGUAUAAUGGACUAGUUCAGCUCUGACAAACUAGUUUUUGAAGACUCAGGUCAACAAUGGGAAAUUAUGUGUUAUGUUUAUUUGAUUAGGGUGACACACUAGUACUAGGAAGCAAUAAAGAAGUUAUUGCAUCUUUGAAAAUGUUUUGUGUGUAUAAAUCAAGAAGCGACUGCGUUAAUUUGAACCACUAAAAGUAUGCAGAAAUCUAGUAAUCAAGCAUCGUUAGUCCUGUCCUGUGGCCCCUUUCUUUUCUGUCUCUUUAGCAUUAAGUAGAAUAAGAGAAUUGGAAUGAUAUAUAAGUGGCAGAACAGGGGCAGACAUCCCUACAAGGGCCUGUCCGGACUAAUCUAGCAUGUCUACCUAAUUUUAUCUUCCAGUUUAGCCCCCUGUGACUGGAUGGUCUUUUACCUAUAUUGACUGCUAUUAACAAGUCUGAAGAGAGAUUGUGUUAUAUCAUGUGUGUGCGUUUGCAUAUUGAGCAUUUAGCUUCCCUGCGAAUGCUUUUUCUUUUUCUUUUAAUUGUGUUUUCAACGAGAAUAGAUUUUGCCUCUUCUUGAUUUGCUUGUGUCUUGCGUGUUCUGCUUUAUUCUGCUUAGAUGUCACAGUUGAACUGCAUACCUUCUGAUGCAUGUAGAUAGAGAUUCCUCCCUUUCAAGUCGUCAUGUCAUUCUUCGCCUAAAUUGUGCUGAGAAUAGGAAUGAGAAGAAAAAAAAUCUCUAAACUACCUAGGUGCAGAGAAACAGCUUCAUAGGCUUAAAGCCGCUCCCACAGGUUCUGGUUCUGCAUUUUCUUGCCUCACCAACUCUCUCCCUCUCUCUUGCUUAGUUGCUUUUGAUUUUUCUUAUGUUUCUUCCAUUUGAUAAUGUAUGAUCAGAUAGAGCGUGAUCUCUUUUAGGCCGCGUACGAGUUCAUACUUUGAGAUGGAUGAGGAACUAGCUUGUUGCAGGUUGAUUGAGUUUAUAUAUUAGAUUAAUUAAGACUGCUUAAGAAAAAGAUUGAUGUUAACUUCGAUCAGGCUCAACUAAAAACAGUUUUUCAGUGUGAAGAAAGAUGCUUCUUUCUUUAAGGUGUCAUCCAAUGGCUAUACUAACAACUUUUUGGAAGCAGAUUUUAACUUGAAAGUCGAGACCCCUAACUUUUAUCCAUCUGGGAUUCCUGAUGGGCCAAUUUUGCACAUGUUCGAUUGCUCUGUGCAUGUAUUAUUGUUUCCUAAGCUACAAGGAAGAAAACAGAACUUUUUGUUACAAGCAGCUUCAUGGGAUAUCUUUAACAGCAAAAGAAUUAGUCUUUUGGAAUGGUUUAUUCUGUCAUCUCCCUCUUUUUGUAGUGGGGAAAAUGUGGGGUUUUCUUUCUGGUUGCAUUAUUUAACAAAUCAAGUCAAGCUUGCGAAGUGGAGGGAAGAAGAUUUAAGUUGAUUUUUUGCACAAUUCGUUGAAGCAAAGAUGCAAAAUAGAACAUGGAGGAGACAUUUAAAUUUGGCCGAGAGCGGAAAAUCAAGAUAACAAAAAGAAACUUGAACGUGCCAGGGGAAAAAAAAAUCACACUACUGCCUUUUGUUCUGCUCUUUGGCUUACUUUUGAAUCAAAGUGAUCAUUUUUGUCAAAGCUGAGGACUAAAGAACUUCAAUUCUCUCAAGUUGGGUUUUCUUUUCACACCCACGUGGGCAAAGACACUCAAUUCCUUGCCUCUCCUCAGUCCUCCCCCAAUCCCACACGAAUACAAAAGAAUUUCACACCAAAUAUGCAUACAAGGAUAACUUCCAAAACCCAAAAAAAAAAAAAAAAAAAAACACACGCACACACACACACAAGGAUAGUUGCCUAUACAGGGGAUUUUUCACAUUUUGUCACUAAGUUGUUGGGCAUAGAAAUCCCUCCUUGGAAGUUUAUCCAUGGCAACCGACCAUCUCUGAGAGUUUACGGGCCUAUUUGGUAAAUAAGUUUUUGAUCAAGUUCGUCUGCCACAAGUUUUUUAACAACUUUAGCUAUAGUAAUCUCAAGAAAUUUCUUAAAAAUUUUAAACUAUAUAUUUCAAAAUAUCUAAAAAUUUAUACAUUUCAAAAAUUUUACAAAUAACUCCUAUCGUAAAUUACAGUAAAAUUUUAGACAAACACCCAAAAAAUUUAUUUGACAAACGGCUUGGUUUCAAAGUUGUUGCCAACCUUUGCAUCUUUUAAGUCGAAAAGUGAAAAAGGCAAAGCAAAGCAAAGAUCCAAACUGUAGAUGCUGGAUAAAGAGGACACCCUAUGUUUCUUCAUACCGUGAACUUAGUGAGGUGACCGUCCCAGCUGUAUUUGAUUGAAUUCAACUUUUCAUCCAUUGUGAAUGGGAUCUUUUUCCAUUCCAUUUCAAUCUGUCUGAAACCCAAAUGAUUUUGCAUUGUUUUGCUAAUACACGUAUUUCUUGGUCCUGUUUAUCCUAGGACUAUUUUGCAUAUGCUGAUUUUCACGGACACCUAUUUGACAUAGAAAAAGCAGUUUAAACUGGAGCAAUCUUGAUUUUCAUGCUUGCUUAAUUUAAGCCUUAAAGCUUCAAACGUCAUCAAUGAUAUAAAUGUGAUUGGAAUCUUUUAAGAGAAAGGGUAACUAUUUUUUUGUCUGUAACGAUACAUAUGUAUAACCUACUCUAUCCUAAUAUAGGAUAACUUGAUAUUGUGUUCUUUGUUACAAGGUACAAAAGCAUCCUACCACCAACCUCCAUACUUUUAGCACAAAGGGAACUGAUUAAAGCACAACUAAAAGAAAAGAAAUUAGAAACUUUUUUUAUCAAGAACAGAACAGUUUGCUGAUUGGUCUGUGUUAGAGGCUAACGGUUACAGGAAAAACAAGCCAGCGGUCCUUGUUGCGGAGAACAAGUUUGAGGUCAAAGAGGGGACUGUGGGGCUCUGAAGUUGCAGGUGUGUGGGAACAAAUGGACAAACAGCAAGGCUGCCUCUGCCUUUUCUUUCUUGGGACCCCAAAAAUAAAAUUCUUCUGCUGCAUGCCAAUGCCGUAAUCAACUGCGCCGGAAAAUCAUUGCUCUUUUGAACUUCUCCAUUAGAAUUCACUGGCCAAACCAAAAGCACAUCUUGUGAUAAAUAUUCUCCCUGCGCUUCUCACCUUUUUGUUCCUGUGUUUUGUUCAUAUCCCAAUAAUGUCAAACGCAGCGUUAUACGUUAUGAAUUCUAUACUUCAUGUAGGGGAAAAAAAAAUUGUACUAGUAUCACUUGGUUAUCAUACAUGCACCUUUUGAUUCUCUAUUGCUAGAACUCGUGCAGAAGCAGAUCUCCUCCAUUCGAUUUGUCAAUUUUGAUAAACGUAUUUUAAUUGAAAUAUAUUUUUGAUAAUUUUUCUAUCUAGUCUAGAAGUUUGCUAUUACAAUUUUCAAAGUUUCUUUGCAUGUAUUCCUGUCUGCCAUAAGAUCUAACAAGAAGUCAAGAACUCAAUGACGGGUGAAUGUUGUAAUGAUUAUUCCUUUUGUAUGACAAGCACACUACUGUAAUUUUUAGAGUUGUAGACAUUUAUAAAAUAUUAAUGGUGUUCUAACAUAAAUGAAUAUCUCAAUAAUAUUAUCCUAUUCUUAUUCCAAAAUUUUAGAUACAUUCACUCCUAAAAAGAGAAUACUCUCAUGAUUUUUCGUUUAUGUUGUGUAAGUGAAAUUGAAAUUCACAGCGCUGUGACUGUUUGUCCAAAUUAAGGGCAUAGCUACAACCAUUAAGAGGUCAAGGGAUCUUUUCAAAGAGGGAUCAUAGUUUGGGGGCUUAAGUGAAUAUACCGAAAAGUGAAAAGUACAAAUAGCUUGAUUUUAUUAGUGAACCUUUGCCUUAUAGUCACACCGCAUCCUUACUAACAAGUCCAACUAGACAUACUAAAAGCAUCACUCAUUUUCACUUCAAAUUGGCUGAUGUCCUGAUGAAGAUAGAGCAAUCUUGGCAUCCAACUCUUACGAAAACAAUCCUUUUGUCUUGGUAACAGGAGAAAUCAUCUCUGGGAUUUUUGUGCGAUAUUUCAGAUUUACAGAAUCUUCAAACUCAGAGGCGUACCAGAAGAAGCAGGUUGGAUUCUAACUAUAAAUGCUUCACCUUGAGUACGUUGCAAUUUUCCUCAAUCAUUUUCACUUCUACUAGUUCCCGUUGAAACAUAUGCCUUAAACGCCAAGAUUCUUCUUUUUUCUUGUGCUUCUUUGUUGUUUUUACCGAGAUGGAUUAUUCAUUUGUCUACUUUUGAUGCCUCACUUCUACUUGCUUUUGUCGACUCUUUUUAUAUCAAGUGAGAGGAGCAAAUGCAUACUUUGCCAAGUUUCUAUGAAGUUGGAAGCUGUUCAGAGUCUUACAACUUCCUUCACGAAAUUUUGAACUCAAGAGAGCAACUGCACCUUGACAAUUCAACCGUUAAUGCCAUUUCAAUGGCUGAGGCAAAAGCAGUUGCAGCAAACAAGAGCCACAGUGAAGCUGAAAGGAGAAGAAGAAAGCGUAUCAAUGGUCAUCUUGCUACACUUCGCAACCUUCUUCCCAAAACCAUCAAAGUAAGUUUUGUUCAUUCAUCUAGUUGCUCUUUUUAUUGCCCUAUUCAACUUUUCCAUGUUCAAAAGACGACCCUCCAUUCUUCUUUUCUUGGUUAAUAAGUUUGAAAUGUAAUGAACAUAGGCAGACAAGGCAUCAUUGUUAGCUGAGGUUGUCCGGUGCAUAAGAGAGCUAAAGAAGUCAACAGAAGAACUCUCAGCUACAGAAGGUGAUGAUCAGUCCAACACAGCAAUGAAACUCAUGUUUCCUAGUGAAACUGAUGAACUCAAGUUAUGUUAUGAUGAUGGAGAUUCAAGGACUAUAAAGGCAACAUUAUGCUGCGAGGACCGACCGGAGAUGAUGAUAGAGUUAAAGAGGGCAUUAAACGCAGUAAAAGCUAAGGUGGUGAAGGCAGAAAUGGCAACAGUUGGGGGAAGAACAAAAACUGUGCUUUGGCUGCAAGCUUCAGCAGCUGGAGAAGAAGGGCUGGCGACAAUAAGGAGAGCACUGAAAGUGGUUGUAGACAGGUCUAUCAUGUUGCCUACUCCUGGCCAGGCUUUGCCGGGUAACAAGCGGCCUCGUCUCUAUCACUGCUGAAUAUAUGAGUUUAGGGUUUUGUAUUUUUUGAAUCUUGACGGUGCCACCUGUUUAAAAUGGUCCAUACUAAUGUUGGGGAUGGGGACCAAUGACCCCAUGGAAAUUGAAAAGUGAGCUAAGGUGAUCAUGGAUGAGGUAGGAGAAUUUGAAGUGUCAAUUUGGUAGAAGAUUUAUCCUAGUUAUGUAUGAAUGUCAAACUCCCAGCUGGUGCUAUGAAUCUAAAAAGUAGUACUGCCUGCGCUGCGAGAUCUUCAUUCGUGUUUCCUUUUAAUUUUAAUUGAGAAGCAAAAUUGCGAGCUCUGAGUGAAUUAUGAAAGGGGUAAAAGUUUAAAUUAUUUUGGUAGAAUUCUUCGUUUUGCAGGUUGUUUCUAAUGAUUCCUUGAGUUACUAACAUGUUCCUUUUUUUGAAGGGAAAAAAAAAAUUGUAACAGGGUUGAGCUAGUAAUGAUUUUCCUUUUUCUAAUCAAAAGUUUGACUUCGACUUAGAGUAAGAGAAAAGUGGGGUUGGGGGAGCCUAAUCACUGAUUUCUUGUUUUUGGACUUUAGAAUCCAAGGUAAUCAUUAACAUUUGCUCCUAUCAGACUAGACUAUACUGUUUCAGGCACAUGUUUUUAGCCUUUAGUAGUUUAAUCAUAUGAAACACUAGCUUAUCUUUUUCUCAAUUUUGGAGCAAAUGUAUUACCAAUUUCUAACUCUUAUUUGACCCGCGACUGCAGUCACUCCCUCUCAUUUGUUUGUUUAAAUUACGUAAGACCCACUCCAUGUUUUUUCUCAACCAAGCCAUACACAUACCUUCAUCAAGAAUGUUGUCCUAUGUUUGAAAUCAAUUGAGAAGUUGAACUAACAAUAGAAAUCCUCCAUUUCUUCACAACUACAUUUUAUCCAACUCUUUGAACUUUCCAAACACGCAAAAUCUAUAAUUCACUAUAAAUAGCCAAUGCAGUUCCAAUCAAUUCAUUCAACUCAAAACAAAAGAAAGUACAAACCCUUUUAGCCGCACUCUUUUUGUGCUUUUGAUCAAACAAUGGCUGCCUUGAACCAUUGUCUCCUUUUCUCCUUCACGGUAGCAUUCUGCUUCUCAAGCUUCCAAAUGAGUUUCGCAGCCCGCCACCUGCUGCAGGCACCAUUGAUUCCAACAAUGCCUACGAUCCCAUCGCUGCCUAAACCCGCUGGGUUGCCUCCAUUGCCUUCAAUUCCAAGCAUUCCUAAGGCAACAUUGCCACCUUUGCCAAGCAUCACAUUGCCUAAAAUCCCAGCCGCUGCUGCACCACUGCCAAAGCCCACUUUGCCAAGCACACCUCCGCUCCCAUCCUUGCCAAAACCCACUCUACCAUCUUUCCCAUCUGUUCCCAAGUUCACUCUACCUCCACUGCCAUCCAUUCCAAAAAUCCCCGUCCAAGCACCACCACCAUCUCACUAGUGCUGGAGACUCGAGUUCUUGCAUUUGGUUUCAUUACGCCAUAUUGGUAGAUUCAUGAGCUGUUCGGUUUGAUCUUAUGUUCAUGGCUUGGUGUAGUAUUUCUGUCGUUUUUACGCAUUGGUUACAUGUAUUUGUCCUUUGGCGAUUUGUAAACCAUUUCCAUUUCUGUAUUCAUCCAUUGUAUUCUUGGAGCGUUCGUGUGUUGUAGAUCUAUUUUAGGGUAUUAGUAAAAAUAACUUUUAUCUUCGUUUAUAUCAUCUUCAUUCUGUGGUUAUAAACCUGUUUAUUUUUUUUUUCAAAUGAAUUGUGAAUGUAGAUUAAAGAAUUAGUCUAAAUAAAAUUUGGAGGGCAUAUUCUAGCCUGACACUCUUCAUCAAUCAUCAAUCAGAGGGUUGUAACAUACGUUGGAAAUCGCCUCCACAAUAGGGUGAAAAAGGAAUGUUGAAUAAAUUUGAAUGCAAAAUGGGGCAAAUGCCAAGCGUUACUUGGGUACCUUAGUUGGAUUUGGUGCUUGACAAUUCCAUGUAAAACCUGCCAAAAACCAUGACCGCAUGCAGUAAACGGAAUCCCUAAUGUAUUACAAUUCAAUAAUAAUAAAAAUGAAAACAUAUGAAUUAUUGCAUAAUAAGUACAUGAUAAUUGUACAAUAAUUCAUAUGAAUUAUUAUAAACUCAUAUAUAGUGAAAUUUGAAUUUAAGAAUUUAAAGUCUUGAACCCUAAACCUUAGGUUGAAGACUCAUUUUCAUGUUAAUGGACGUCCCUCAACAUGAAUUAUCUUUAGCGUUGUUUGUAAUUUCUAAUGAAAAUCAAAUUUACGAAUCAAUAUUUUUUGAUAAACAAUAAGCUUGCUUGUUCUAUGCUGACCAGCUGUGCAUGUACUUGUAAACAUCAUAGCUAGCACUCUUAUAAACUUAAAAGAGCUUACCUUGUUUCUUCCGGUGAUUUACAGUUCUUUAAAACCUUUAAAAAAAAAAAGUGAAGUAAAUUUAACUUUUUUUUUUUUUUUUUUGGUGGGGUUGCAUGUCAACCGAAAUCCAAAUUCAGAUGACCUUUAGGUUGCAAACUUUUUCAUUGAAGGGGGGGAAGAAAGGGACCAAAUCCGUCAAUUGUUCUUCCAAUUGGGUCCCUUAAUAAUUUUGGAGGCCCAAAACCAAAAUGCUACGAAUUUUCUCUUUCGUAACACCAUGUUGUUUCAAAGCCGAUGUUCUUCCCAUUCCAUCUUGUCUUCCACUUUCAAGACCAAUUUGGCCUGAUUACAAGAACAAUAGCUGAAGAUUUGCUAAGAUAGGAACAAAAAUAGAUUGACAUUAUAAUUGCGAUUACGAAACUGUUGAAACUGGUUAAGAACAACUACUGAAGCGUUUUGAUUUGCAAUGAUAGGAGCAGAAAAAGAUUGACACUGAAUUUCUAUCGGCUAUUGAAAUGAUAGCUUUUCUAGGAAUAGGUUUAUUAUUGCUUCUCGAUUUACUUAUUUAUCAGCAUGAGAUCAUUGGAGACUAUUUAAUAAAUGAUAAUCAUCAUAAAAUCUCACAUUAAAUGUGUACGAUGAUGAUGGGUCCUGGCUAAUUUUCUUUACAAUUAAUUCGUGGUUUUUUAAGGGAUACAAAAACUAAGUUAUUAUAAGGAAAUAUAUAUAUAUUUACAUUAGUAUUGAGGAAAGAGAAUCACCCAUGACACAAAAAGAUGGGUUUAAAAUGGUUCCAUGCAUGCUAUUACUGGAAAGAGGUGUUAUGACACUAGAAUCAGCUUGUCAAAGACAAGUUGGUCGUUAAUAGAGAUUCAAAAUUUUAAUUUGGGGUAUAAGUUUGUAGUUUUAAUCUCAAACCUUGCAAUUAAAGAGGAUUUAGCGUAUGCUCUUUCCUUUCCUUCUUCUUCCUUAUAAGGUCAGAGUCUCCUUUGAAUCAAAGUAAAAAAACCAAUAAUCCAAUAACAGUAGUCUAAUAAUAUCCGAAAUGGACUAAGAAUCUGAAAUAAGCUCAAUUAUGAAUGAUGUAACCGUCCUUUCGAACAAGAAUUUUAAAUGAUUUUAGAAGGGCAAUGUAAAAAUGCUUUUUGAUUUUUUUUAAUGCCUUGGGAAAACCCCCCACUGUUCUCAUGGACAAAAUGUCCACUUCUUUUUUAUCUUGUUCUCCCCACUUUUCCAGUCGAAACAAUCAGACCCUAAUUCAGUACCUUUUUCAGUCCCCAAAUUCCCGGGGAAGUUUCUAAUCUACGGAGUUCUUCUUAGUCAGGAGACUCAUUAGAAUGGCGACACAUACAUUCAAAUCUAAGCAUCCUCUGCAUUUUAGUACAAGUACGAUGAAUGUAACAUGAUUCUUCGUUAAUUAUUCUCCAUCUAAGCAUAAGCCAAAUACCGACUCCCAGUGGCGGAUUUAAGGUACCUCCACUGCUCCCUUAAAUUUCCUAUAGUAUCCAUAAAAUUUUGAUAUAAUUUCAAAUGUACGUCGAGAGUUUUCUUAUGAAAGAAUUAUAUGGUCUUCUAAGUUGAUUUAUAAACUACUAUUUUAAAAAGAUAUGUGGGUCACAAAGUUUCAUUUGAAAUAAGGUGAAUAAAGGCUUUUCAUUUCAAUUUGUUGGUGAAUUUUUUUACUUAAAAAAUUAGAAAAAGAGUAGGUAAAAAAAAUUUUAGUGUUGCUUUUACCCUCACUGAGAAUUUUUUCUGGCUUCGUCAUUGCCGACUCUACCAUUGUUGGAGACUUGGAGUAUACAGGUGCCAGAGAGAAGUGAUGUUUAGUUGUUAACCUUUGUGAUCUCAUCAUAAGUCGAGAGGUAGUUGAUCAAAAUUCCCCUGUAGUAGCUUUGUCCAUGCGACUAAAGAUCCAAAUUGUUUGUUCAUUUGCCAGUUGCCACUUUGAUGUUUAUGUCAUUCCGCUGCAACAUCUGUUCUUCAGUUGGUGGAUGCUGUUAGGAACUUAGGAUUUAAUUAUCUCAGUCAAAAUUUUUGCAACUAAAAUCUAGUUGAGAAGGCAUACCAACCUAUACAUCUUCAAACUGGUCCAGCUACAUUUGAACUUAACCUUGUAGUGCUUCCUUUAGAAAGCAUAGUCUUCCCCUUUAAGCUGAUCAAAAUACACAAAAAAAUCGUACUACCUUGGAAACUCAAAGCGGAGCUUCAAUCUUCUGCAUCAAUCAAUCAGCAUGGCUUCUUCUUCUUUUUCUAACCUUUGCAUCUUUCUAUCUCUGAUCAUUGCUUUGUCAUUUCCAAGCAUUCAAGUAACAGACGCGGCUCGCCAGCUUUUACAAACCUCACAACCAACAAUACCGACGUUGCCCACCCUGCCAAACUUGCCCACCGGAGCAGCAGCAUUGCCACCAUUGCCAACCACUCCUCUGCCAACAUUACCCACAAAUGUUCCAUCCUUGCCAAAGCCCGCGUUGCCAACAGUUCCCACAAUUCCUCAGGGGGCCCUCCCUCCCAUACCAGCUGCAACUUCAUUGCCAAACAUCCCAUUCACAAUCCCUUCAAUCCCAACUAAUCUCCCAACGUCAAUUCCUUCAAUUCCUUUCUUCUCACCUCCACCAUCCAACUAGACCAUUUUCUACCUGAACUUGUUUCAAUCAUUGAAUAUGCCGUAUCUGUUGCUUCGUUGUGAUAGCCUAAUGAUUUCCAUAUAAUUGGGAAAUUUUCACAGUUACAAUGGUCCUUGUAGGGAUCCUAUGAAACAGAUGGAGUUUGGAUUAUAUUGUGAGUCCCUGUAUUGCACACUGCAGGUUGUAUUCCCAUUUCUAAUGUUAUGAAUCCUUUUAUAUUUAUACUAUCUAAGAGCAACAUCUUAAAUUUUUCUCUUUUUUUUUUGUAUUUGAUUUUUCUGGAAUUACGUGCUCUGUUAUUCUGCUAAUUCCAUUCCAUUUGAUGAUAUGUCUCUUGAAUUAUGAGUUGUGUUUCAAUGAUGGGAACAACAUUCGCGCCGAGUUGGUCCCCAUGUGGUAUUUGCCAAAAAUGACACGGAAACUUUAACAAAAAAAAAGUCAGAUCUACCAUGUAAUUUUAAGAAGGAACAAUUUUGCAUCUGCUAUAAUCUUAAUAUUUGUUGCUUCACUUCUGAGUUUCUGAGGAAAAAUAAUAACAAUGAUGGCCAAAUUGAACAGCCACGACCUUUUUCAAGUUGCAUUGCUUGCGAUUGGGAAAGCAACAGUUUGUAUUUACUUUCAGUUUUAAGAAUAUGGUGUAAUGAAGUCACUUCGAACUCAAUUAGUGAACAAUUCGAGCUCGGCGUGAAUUAAAGCACUUGAACUCAAAUUUGACAAACUCUCAGGUUGGGUUUCAUCACAUACAAAUGUUCAAGUUUGAACUCGUCCAUUUUUUUUUUUUCUCGAAUUCAUGAAAUUGUUCAAGCUCCAUCGGAACAACAUCGAAUUCGAGUUUUAAUUGAACAACCUUAUGAGUAGUUCAAUUGUGACGUUUGCAACCCUACUUUAAUAUAUAGGAAUACUUGUUAAUUGAUACCAGGGUUUCCUUCAGUUAGUAUCGUUUUGGUGCUACGUACGUACUAUUUAGAUUCAGUUUUAAGAGUUAUUAAUGAAUAGCAGCCAAUAAUAUAAAAGCAGCAUAAAUUACAACAGUUAUAAUAGCCUCUCAAAUGAUCAUGAAAUCAAAACAAAACCGCAUGAAUGAAAUCAAUACUGAUGGGGUUUAUGUUCUUGAAUUUUCUGUUCAUUUAAUUCCCUUCGCAUGAUAAUACAAAUAUGAUGAUUCUUGGGGAUAAAGUUCCCUAAUGUUUGAGAGGUUGGUCCGCUCAAAUAAAUAUUCCACGUGUCUGACUUUCGGAGAAGAGAACACUUGGCGAAGCCUGGAUUAAACCUUAUUUGUCCAAGUCAUUCCCAUUUCCAUUUCAUCCCCUAUAAAUUCACCCCGCCAUACAGAUCAGUUUCAUGCAAUCAAAACGUAAUUUCUGCUGAUCAGUUUCAAAACUGUGGAUUGCCAGAUGAUGGAGAAGGCUUCAAUCAAGUCCACUCUCUCAGUUGCUCUCUUCAUUCUUCUUCCAAUUUGUUAGUCUCUCUCUCUUGAUCUCUCAUUUACACUUGCACAGGACUAGAAUGUGUAUUGGUGAAGGGAUUCUUGCUUCAUAACUUGAAUUCACCGGUUGAAAAUCAUCACUUUAUUUCUUCUAUUAAAAGAUUGUUUCUUGUUCACAAAAAAGGAAAAAAAAAAAGAUAAACAGGCCCUUUGAUUGCAGUAUUAUCAUUCCCAAUGAUGGAAGUGAAAAUGGCAACGAGCAUCUCAAGAAAAUUUCAGAUAUUUGAAUGUGGAAAUCCUUGUAGCUCUGAUGCGGAUUGCAAAUGCACUGAUUUCUAUUGUGCUCCGAUCCCGGAUGUGAUGAUAAUGGUUAUUAUAUUCAAAUCAAUUUUGGCAAUCUUAAUUAACCAAGGUGGCCAACAAUAAUGGUAUCCCACUUUAUAUUUUACAUAUAUAUAUAUAUAUAUAUUUUUCUUAAUUAACUUUUUACUUUUAAAAAAUAUGAACUCCUAAAUUCUAUCUUAAUGACAAUCCAUUCGGUACUAGUUAAAUAUACCCUAUAUUAUUUUACAAGCCCAAAACCCAAAGCGCUAAUUUUCUACCUUUUUAAAAAAAAAAAAAGCCCCCCAUCCACUCGUCCAGGUCUUUUCCCAACGAGUACUCAGGCUGCUGGCCCUAAAUUACUAACUUCAAACUCACAACAAACGUUGGCAAAUGAUGAGUUAGUUGUAUUUAAAAAUGCAUGUUUUCUUAGCUACGUAAUUAUGGUAAUAUGCGUACAACGACUAUAUAUUUUGUUGUAACAUAUUUUUAAGAUUAUGAGAUGGUUGCGUUCCUUGUUGAAAGUGGCUUUCGAAGUUAUUUUAUAAUCAAUCAUGUUACCAAUUUUAAAAAUUUUGAAGUUUUUUUAAAAAUUUUUUUUUUUAGUGUAAAUAGAAGGAUUCACGUCAUCAUCCUAGUCUGGAGUUAGUUCAUCGACAUUUUUCUAUGCUGGCUUCUCACAACCACGUCCUGUCCAUCAAAAUCCUCUCAUCUAUUUCAGUUGUCAAAAAUGAGCAACUGGCAGGUCAUUCCAUAUCAUCAUAUAUACACAUUAUUUAUUUAUUCGGUGGACUUUUGUUGAUGAGAAUUCUGAACUUCGAAAAAGUGAAAUUGGUUGAGGUAGCAAACCAACCUGCAGUAAUUCUUCCAACUUGUCCAACUGCAUCUAGCCAACCAUUGCUCCCUAUAAAAAGCAUUACCUCCCCCUUCAACUCAGACAACAUACUAACACAUAUAUUUGGGAAUUCCCCUACAAAUUCAGUUUCGAGCUUCUUCCUUCUGCGGUAUUCAAUCCAAUGGCUACUUCUUCCAAUGUCUGCUUCUUUCUGUCUUUGCUCAUUGCUUUAUCAUUUUCGAGCAUCCAAGAAAGCCAGGCCGCUCGCCGACUAUUGCAAACUUCCCCACCAGUGAUACCAGCAAUACCAACAUUGCCUGGUACAACCAUGCCAAAUUUGCCUACCACAUUGCCACCAUUGUCAAGUACUCCUUUCCCAACAUUACCAACAAAUCUUCCAUCUUUGCCAACUAUGCCCACAGUUCCGAAGGUGGCCCUCCCUCCCAUUCCAGCUGCAACUUCGUUGCCAAAUAUUCCAUCCACAAUUCCUCCAAUCCCAACUAAUAUCCCAACUUCAUUUCCUUCAAUUCCUUUCUUCUCACCACCGCCAUCCAACUAGACCAUUUUAGAUAUUUGAAUGUUUGAGUUUGUCAUAUCUGUUGUUCCUUCAGAUCGCUUAUCAUACGAUUUCAUGUACAAGUAAUUUUUACAGUUUCAUUAGUCCGUCUGUAUAGCUAGGGAUCUUAUGAAGUAGACGGAGUUUGGUUUGUUUUUGAGAUUGUAUUGCGAUUGUUUAUGUUAUAACUAGUUCUUAAUUGAUACCAUGUAGGAGUUUCUUGUUUGUUGUUUCUUGAUACUUUCGUUUAUUUAUCUAUCUUUCGUUGGCUUGAGGCCUUAUAUUACACCUCUCGUUACACUUUAUUAUUCAACUUUUUAAAAUGACAUGCAUCCCCACAACACAUUAAUCAAAAGAACUUGGAUUCUUAUCCAUGAUUAUAUGCAACACAUCUCAAUCUAACUGUUUGUCUAAUAAGAAUAUAACAUAAAUCAGACGAUCUUUUUUAUUUUGUAAAUUACAUUCUCACCACUCAGCUAUCAUUCAUCAAAUGUAAAAUUUUAAUUUAAGGUCAAUUUUAGAAACCUUCCUUAAAUUUUUUAACGAUUUCAGGCAGUACUCUCUUGUAAUUUGGAUAAUUAAACCCACCUACAUUGCUAACUUCAAUUGAGUAUCAUAACCCUUUUCUAAGAUACAGGCUGUUUACAGAAGAAAAAACCAGAAAAUUAUUCACCCAAAUUCCCCAACACUCCCCGUCUUCUUGUCAGCACUAUUGUACUUUUAUCCAUUUUUACCACCAUCACUACCAUCAUUGCCAGAAGCAUGGCAAACAGAUGCUUCUCAAAUUACCUGCCCAAAAAAAAAAAAAUUUCGAAUGAGAUGCUGCAACACCACCCAAGCCAUAAUCUACCAGCCCAAAAACCUAAAAAAAAAAAACACACACACACACACACGAUAUGCUCCCUCUUUGCCAUCAAGCAUGUCUGCCCAAAUCCUUUGCUACUUUGGUUUCCUCAACCAAUAUACCUCAAUCCCUCCCCUCUCUCAAAUAACAUCUGAAAAGUAAUGGAGUCAGCUCCAGUCCCAAAGGGGUAUACUUCUUUCUUUAGUUAUUCAUGGUGGAAAUAUGCUGCUAAUCAAUGUCCACAAUAGUUAUAGACGACAGACAACCAAGCUAUGCUGGUUUCAGCAAUUUGAUACAGACGUCCAAAAAAUAAAACCAAAAAGUAUUAACAUGGAUAUAAUAAUUGCAAACUCCAAAUAACUAAAAUGUCAGCGUUUAGCCAAAUGUAUGAUCCCACACUUGGAUUCAAUAUAUAUAUAUAUAAAUAUUUAUUUAUUUAUUAGGUCGCUUGGUUUCAAUUUCUUCAAGCUUAUAUGAUCAUACACUUUGUUUGAGUUUCUUUAAGCUCUAUCUGACUUUGUUAUACGGUUAAAGGCUUAAUGCUUUGUCAGGAGCCUUAAGUUUGCCUGUUUAGGUACGUGGUUAUUGGAACUUUAGUUACUGUAGCCUAAAUUCCUUUUAGUAAAGAUUAAAUUAAUGGUGGGAUCGUAGUAGAAGUAAAAAAAAAAAAAAAAAAAAAAAAAGUCGCUGGACCAGGAGUAUAUUUUGUGGUAAGCACUUUUUGAUAUGUUUGUGUAUCAUAAAGUAUCAUCAAAUGUGGAAAUCUUAAUUACUCAUAUUCUGAGACCGAACAAACAAAAAAGAUAAUCUGAAUCAGAAACUUGUGCUUGUGAUUCGUGAACAUCCGUCAUCUUACUCUAUUAUUUUGGUCUCUAGCGGUUGUAUUACUCUUUGGUUUUGAUUUUAUCUGGUUGUACUUUUGUUCAAGCAGUGACUUGUUGAAACUGGCCAAUGAAUUGGGAAAAAAAAAAAAAUCAAAAGCGAAGCGGUUUGUUCAAUUUUCGUGUGUUUUCUUUACAUUAAAUUUAUUGACAUAUUAACAUUAUAUGGUUUCUUGUGGAUUAAGUUCCUAACGGGAGAUUCUGCCCGCUAUGGAAACUUUUAUAUUGUACCGAAUUUGAAAGACCUAUUUGGCAUAUUCUCGAUCAAACCUCAUUUGUCGAAUCCAUUUCCAGUUUGAGUUUAUCCCCUAUAAAUUCACCUGAAAUAGACUAGUUUCAUGCAUACAAAAAUUAGUUUCUACUGCUCAUCAACAACAGUGGAUACUAGAUGGAGAAGGCUUCAAUCAAGCCCGCUCUCUUAUUUGCUCUCUUCAUUCUUCCAAUUUGUGAGUUUCUCUAGGAUUCUUACCUCAGAACUUGAAGUCACGGGUUAAAAAUCCACACUUUUAUUUCCCCUACUAAAACAUUGUUCCUUUUCCAUUUAAAGAAAAAAGUACAGGUAAAAAGACCCUUUUUCAUCUAACAAAACCUUUUUUCCCCUAAUGUGAUUUAAUUGUAGUAUUAUCUUUUCCAGUGAUGAAAGCCAUGGAAGUGAAAGUCACUGGCAACAAGCAUCUCAAGAAAACUUCAGCAGGAUUGUGCAAUUCCUUGUGGCUCUGAUGCGGAUUGCACAUGCAUAGGUUUUAGUUGUGCUCUGACUCCCAUAGAGGGAUGUGACGAUAAUGGUAAUUGUAUUCAAGUUAGUCGUUGCCUGGACGAAAUUCAAGCAUUGUGGCAAACAAUAAGAGGCGUGUAAUACAAUUAUUUUAAAGGUUUUGUCUACUGGUUAUUGGUUUCUUUGGUAGUAAGAGUUUGUUUGUAAUAAAGAUAGUAGGAUGAGAUUUUUUUUUUAACGUAAAAAGAGAUUUUAUUGAAUAGAACAUGAAUGUACACAAGUGCAGAGGUAUUUGCUACACAAAAGUACGACUAAAACCAAUUAAGCUAUACAAUAGUACUGCUACAAUGAACUAAACUCCGAUUAUGCUAUCAACAUUUAAGAAAAAUCUCUUGGGGAAAUCCCAACUAAAACAAAAUAACUAGUUGUCUCUUGUACUCAAUACAUUCCUCCAUUAUGCCACAUAAUAGCGAAUCUCCUUCCAUAUAUAAUAUACAACUGCCUCUAGUGCCAACUUUUUUACUGUGUUUAUAAAACAUUCUUUCUUCCAAUGACAACUGAGCCAUUUAACUUCAGUAUUCCAUUCAUAAGUUCCGCGUAUUGCAAGCAGCAUUGCUGUAUUCUUGACCAAAUAUAAGUUGCAUACUCACAUUAAAAAAAGAGAUGAUUACAAGAUUCAUUUCCAGUAUAGCAUAAUACAUAUCUCAUUUCAGACAUAAUGCCCCACUUAACCAACCUGUCCUUUGUGCUUAAUUUGUUCUUACACAACAACUACAAGAUAAAUGAAUGUUUCGGAUAUAUUUUUUGAAGCACACAAGAUGAUGCCAAUAGACCUCAGUAGCGAAAUGGUUCAACACUUCAUUUGCAGAUUUGACAGAGAACAAAUCUAAUUUACUGGGCAGCUAUUUCACUAUAUUUGACAUUCCCUCGCUUAGUAACUAUCCAGAAGGAAAAAAUUGUGCAAAAUCAUCAACUUCAACAGGUCUCCUCCUACCAGCAGGGAUCUUCCACUCUCUAUUUUCAAUGAUAGAAAAAACCUUAGCUUGUGGCGUACUUCCAAACUAUCGCACCAUAUUGGGUCCAUAAGCUGUGAAGCAUGGCCCUCUAUGGUGCCAAUUAUCAUACCAAAGAAGUAUUUUCUCCACUUUUGAUCACUGAGACAAUAAAAGGCUGUAUAAUAGAUCUGAUUUGAAGGAGUUUAUGCCAAACCCAAGAACAAAAUUGAGGCAAUGAAAUAGACCAGAAACAUUUAUUUUUGAGUUUCACAAUGUGAACCCAAGCAAUCCAAAGAGAAUCCUUUUCAAGUGUUAUGUGCCAGAUACAUUUAAACAAUAAAGCCUUAUUCCAAUUAGUCAAAUUAGGUAAUCCAUGUUCUCCUUGUUUGAUAGUAGGAUGAGAUUGUUGGUGUGUUAGUUACUCAUUGUCAAUGUUUGGAUUUACUUCUGGUCUAGAUUGAACCAGAAGAUGUUCUCUUUCUAUUUAAUCAGUAUAGGCCAAAUCUUGGUAAUUUCUAUAUUUCUUGGUUCACAUAAAUGUUGUAUUGAGUUCGAUACCCAUGAUACGAGACUGACCUGCUGGAGUAAUGAUGGAUUGUAGAUUAUUUGUGAUCCAAGAUCAUCCAAAAAGCAAACUGAAACAACCUUAGUGGCCCAAAAUUUUUUUAAAAAAUAAUAAAACGAGGUUGCAAAUUUUCAGAUAAUAAAACAGAAAUGCUGAAAUUUGCUACUUCUCAGUCGAACAAGAUUGUUAAUUAACCUUAGAAGCCCAUAAUGCAAAUUGCCAAUUUUUUGAAACCCAUUCUUUCUAUGAACUUUUCCUAACUUGUACUCGCUCUUCCAAACUUGGAUUACCAAUUCAAAUUUGCGGUCUAAAUUCCAUCCCAGGUAGAACACAUGUACUUAUUAUUUACUUGGUAGAUUUUUUGUUGAGGAAUCUGAGUUUCUAAGAAGUGAAUUUAGUUGAGAAGGCAAACCAACCAAUGCUUCUUCAAACUUGUCCAACUACAUCUGACGAUUCUGACCAACCAUUGCUUCCUAUAAAAAGCAUCAUCUACCCGCUCAUCCCCUACGGAAUCAAUACAAAACAAAUUAAUCCCCUACGGAUUCAAUUUGAAGCUUCUACCUUCUGCAUUAAUCAAACAAGUGCUCAAAAUGACUACUUCUUCCAAUGUCUGCUUCUUUCUGUCUUUGCUCAUUGCUUUAUCAUUUUCGAGCAUCCAAGAAAGCCAGGCGGCUCGCCAACUAUUGCAAACUUCCCCACCAGUGAUACCAGCAAUACCAACAUUGCCUCGUACAACCCUGCCAAAUUUGCCUACCACAUUGCCACCAUUAUCAAGUAUUCCUUUGCCAACAUUACCGACAAAUCUUCCACCUUUGCCAAAGCCCACAUUGCCAACUAUGCCCACAGUUCCUAAGGUGGCCCUCCCUCCCAUUCCAGCUGCAACUUCAUUGCCAAACAUUCCAUCCACAAUUCCUUCUAUCCCAACUAAUAUCCCAACGUCAUUUCCUUCAAUUCCUUUCUUCUCUCCACCGCCAUCCAACUAGACCAUUUUAGACAUGAACACGAUUCAGUGUUUGAAUUUGCAUAUUUGUCGUUCCUUCAGAUUGCUUAUCGAUACGAUUUCUUGUACUUGAAAUUUUUACAGUUUCAUUAGUCCGUCUAGCUAGGGAUCUUAUGAAGUAGACGGAGUUUGGAUUUCAUGUAUUGUGCCUUGGAGAUUGUAUUCGGAUUGUUUAUGUUAUGAAUUAUGAUGAGCUCUCUGACACUAUGAACGAGCACUUUUUUACGUAUGUUUGUUUCUUUUGCCAACUCUAAACAUAACUUUAAGUCAUAGAUAUGAAUGUGGGAGACAAAAGUUUUUAGUUUUGAGUUUUGGGAUCUAUAGCAACCGUUAUACCAGAAUACAUCUACGCUUAAAAUGGUGUACUCCCAAAAAAAAAAAAAAGAAAGAAGUUUUGGGAUGGGCAUAAUGAAGAGUUUCAAUAUGUAAGUUCUAUCAUCUGCACAAAUAAAUUGGAAGCUCAUGAUGUGUUAAUGUACAGACAUUUGGGAAAAUGUUGCGGAAUUUGUGUUUUUUUUUAUUUGAAAGAAUGAAAAUUCUAUCCAAUAAAGACUACAUUCACUUCACAAAAAAAAAAAAAAAAAAAAAAAAGAUUAGAUUCACCAGCUGUCUAAACUUUCAACUUAAAAAAAAAAUUAAAAGUCUUUGAUGAUUAAUUACCUUAUUAAGUCUCUCUUGCCAAUAAAAUCUUGAUUUAGUAGUGAAACAACACUACUAAACCACUUGCAUUAAGAGCUGAAUUCAUCCGAACAACCCAAAAGAUUCGUUUUAAAGAGAUAAAUAACAUAUUUUGCAAAAAAAAAAAAAAAAAGUGAUGCCAUAGCAAAAGUGUGAAAAAUAAAGGGGUUACACGAACACCCUCCAUCAGAAAAUUAUUACACGAAUGAAAUCUAGGUAUGAAUCAGUGAUUCAUAAGAAAUGUGAGAUAACUUUCAACAGUUAGAAUAUCCAAUUAAAAUUUCAUUAAUAGUUGAUAAAAGACUUGUUAAAAAGUCCUGGAAAAACCUAUUUAUAAACUAUAAAAGUUUAACCUAAAAAGAAAACAAAACACACGAAAAACUCUAAAACAACUAAAAGAUGCGUUGCAGCCGUGAUGACCCUUCAGAUAUAUUUAGUAACACUAGAUUUUUUGUUUUUUUUUUGGGGUAGGUUCGGGUAACAUGAUUUUGCUUCUUAGCUAGAAGUGACGGGUUCAAAUCUAUAUUCAAAAAAAAAAAAAAAAAAAGGACUGGUAAAAAGGCUUUUCAUCUGACGAUUUUUUAUGGGAUUUAAUUGCAGUAUUGUCAUCGCCAAUGGUUCAAGGGAUGGACGUGAAAAUGGCCACAAUUAUCUCAAGAAAAUUACUUCAGACUGAAUGCGAAGUUCCCCUGCAGACGAUUGAACAUGCAGUAAUCACUCUUGUUGUUGACAACCCAAUAUGCGAAGAUGAUGAUGAUUGUGAUGCAGUAUUCCAAAAAAAAAAAAAAAAGUAUGCCAGCAGGUGUAGCCUCAAACCCUGAAGUGAUUGUUCGAGAUAAUUCAUGGUUGGAACUUGGAAUCGAAACGCGAGAUCUGCUUUCUCUACAUGAAAAAUCUAAAUAAAAUCCUCAAUUUCGACAUAGUUCAGAUAAAUGUUUGAUAAGUCAAUUGUUGUACUUUGCAUCUUGUGACCAAGUCUGUAAUGCAAAUAAUAGGAAAUAAACCAAAGUGCAUUGCAGUACAAGGGCUGCUCAUGUCUGUUUGUAGUUUAAUUUGAAUAUUUCGUGCAAGUUAUAUGUACGUUCUCGACAUUAUUUGCAUGGAAUGUCGCUCAUGCUUUAAUUUGACCUUUAAUCCCUUUCAUUUUUAUUACUUGCAGUAGUAUUAAUACAAGGACUUUUACUUCGACUAAAUAAUAGGAGAUCGAUUAGUAUGAAAUGAGAAGCUCUCAAGAUACAGAGGGAUACUUAUGUUUUGAUGCCAUGAAAUGUACCCCUACCUCUUUUUAAAUUCCAACCUUCCCUUAUUAUUAAAAAAAAAAUUUAAAAAAAUAGAAAAGUAAGCUGUUUUUUUUUUAAGAGGACAACUUCACAUCACAAAUACAGUUGAACUACUCUUUCUUUUUUUUUUUUUUUUUCCUUCUCCUCGUCAAGUGUUGGCCUCAGUAUCGCUGCUGUUGGAUUGGAUUUUUCUCUCAAGUUUCUCUCCUGUAUUGACCUUACCCCAUUUCAGACUCUGUGGGGGAAUUCUUAAUAACCAAGUGUACACUUGCACACCAUAAACUGUUGGUAGUUCAUCAGCAUUCUAAUUCCAAACUAAUUCCAAGUUUAGUUGAGAAAGGCCAACUAAACCUAAUUCUACUAAUCCAACUACAUUCGAUCAAACACUUUCACCUCUAUGGCUAUCUAUAAAUAAGAGUCAAGAAACAAUAUGCGAGUCCCUCAACUCGAAACCAGAAAAAUACCCAUCUUGUACUUGCCGUAACACUUAAAAAAGUGUUUGCUAAUUUCUGAAUUUCAAUACAGGAUCAUUUACCAAUGGCUACAUCUUCCAAAGUUUGCUUUGUUCUGUCCUUGAUCCUAGCUCUAUCAUUUUCAAGCAUCAAGGUUUCUAACGCAGCUCGCUACCUUCUGCAGACGACGCCAGGAAUACCUACAAUGCCAUCGUUGCCCAAGUUGCCUCCAUUGCCUACCAUGCCAAGCUUCCCUACAGCCACAUUGCCACCAAUGCCAGCUACCCCUUUGCCCACAUUACCCACAAAUCUUCCAUCACUGCCAAAGCCCACAUUUCCGCCAUUGCCAAGCACUCAGCUUCCAACUUUGCCUACCAUCCCUUCCAUUCCCUCUAUUCCUACUACAAUUCCUACUUUACCUUUCCCCUCACCACCACCAUCAAGCUAGACAUUGAAAACGAAGCACUUGGAUUAUUUAUCAUCAUCUCUUUACUGGGAAGUCUGGAAAUCCAUGAAGAUUAUCGAUCAUUUCUUUUUUUUUUUUUUUUUGGUGGCUCCAGCCAUAUUCGUAUGUUACUCGUACUAUGAUUGCGGCGUUGUAUCUUUGUUACUCAUACUAUGAUUGUAUUAUUGGAUAUCUGUUACUCAUACUAUGAUCGUAUUAUUUGAAACCUUUCUUUCACGGGGUCUGAGUAUCUGGUUAAGAUUUGACCGACAGCCAUCAGAAAUCUAAUCUCAACAACAUAAAAGCGGUUCUUUGGUUACAUUCUUUGAAUUAAUUGCUUUUUUUUCUGAAAGACGAAAAUAAAAUGCAAAUCUAAGGCUGUGAACGAAAACACUAAGGACUACUAUCACCGACAACUGUGUACUGGGGCAGUAGCAAUUCAGUCCCUUUUACAAUCCAAGCAUUCAGGUGCAACAUACUUGUCUAGAUUGAAAUCAGGCUUCAUGUGAAAGUUGAUGGAACUUCAUCUUGGAGACCCCAAAAAAGAGAGAGAGAGAGAGAGAGAGAUAGACAAGCAAAACAUGAGAGGAAUAUUACUUUUCAUGCACUUUUGUAGUCUGGAUGUAAAUCUUGUCAUCACAUCUUUGAUAAAUAUGCUGUUUAUAUCACAAUAGUGAAUUGAAAUAGAUUAAAAUUUUUUAUGUUUUUUGGUUUAAAUGAGAAUUUUGUUCACCAGUUAAUAUACACAAGCUGUGUGUUCAAGCAAUGACGAGUUUGGGUCCUCUUAAUUGUUGUAACUUCUAGAGCUGUUUGGUCGUAGUUGUGCAAGCAACUCAUUAACAUAAAAUAACUAUGUUGACCACUUCAACGAUUUUUAUAUAAUUCAUUAGGAUAUGGUACAUGUAUGUAUUGUGUGAUUUGAUAUUAUUAUCACAGUCGAUUUUUGUACUUUUUACAUAAUAUGAUAUGGUAUGCAUUUACACAAGUUAUUGCACUGAAUUUCUUACGAGAUGGAGUGCAAAAGAACAAAACGUACAGAAAAAAUAAAAUAUGGCUCACAUGUACAAUCACAUGAUGUAAACUUGCAUCAAAAAAUUAUGUAACAAAUACAGUAGUAUAGAACUGCACCUACCGCAAUGGUACUUGCAUCAUUUCCAUUUUAUCUGCAUCAGAAAGGAGCUACAAAAAAAUGCUAAACUAUUAUUAGCAAGUUUCGCAACUCAUCCAAAGAAAUCCAAACGGAUGUACAUCAUCCUUUGAAUUUUUGGUCUUAACUUUCCCAUUAUGGUAUGUGUGUGUUUGAAAAGUAAAAGCCGAAAACAAGAGGGGACUUUGAAGCAGCUGACGAGUUCCACGCAUGCAGUUGCUAAGAAAACCCCCCCAAUGUAGUGUUACCAUUGCGAAAUCAGUUUCCAGGUGUACAGCACUUUUGCUACCUGUCACCAUUUCAGCCCCUUCGCCAUGAAAUUUUUCCAAAUCAUAUCUCAAAAACUCAUCUAAAACCUGAGAAACCAUAAGUCCAGAUUGAGAAAAUGCCAAGAACCCACCGCACUGCAAUUUUCUACUGAUAAUCUAGACACCAACGUCAUAUUCUAAUCAAUGUAUCAAGCUCUUCAAGCACAUAUCAUGAAAUCCUUCUGGUUUCCUUCACUAUAAAUAGAGCUUGAAUGAACUAGUAUUUUCCUAACAUCUUCAGUAUCUCUUUUGUAAGCCAGAAAGCACAGGAAAAAUGAAGUCCAGAGCGUUUAUUUUGGUUGCACUUCUAUGUGCUCUAUUUCUUCUCGUUUCUUCCACUAUGGCUGUUGAUACACCCAAGGAUGGAACAAAGGGUAAGAAAAUACUAGUACCAAGUAGCUAUGCUUAUGUUUUUGCAAGAUUUCCAUCGGUCAUUAACUUGAUUUUCUUAUUUUUCAAUAGAAAUAUCAUACGAUCUCCGUAAAUGAAUAGUAUGGAUUAUAGGAUGAAUUACAAAUGUUUGCCUGGUUGACAAUUAUUGUUUGCAGAGGACAAGGCAAAGGAACCCGAACAAUAUGGAGGUCGGUGUCGUUAUGGCUGCUGUGGUCGUCGGGGCCCCUAUGGUUGUAGUAAGUGCUGCAGAACAGGUAAUAGUUGCACCAUUCAAAGAAACAGGAUUUAAAUGCGUGAACAGUAUUUGUAACUUAAAAAGUUGUGUUGUCCAUGUAGCUAAUGAAGCUGAAGCAACCCAAGUAAACGCUGACAUCAAUGGCAAUGAAGGCGGUGGACAUGGUGGUGGCGGCGGCUAUGGAGGUGGUGGCGGCGGACAUGGUGGUGGCGGCGGCUAUGGAGGUGGUGGUGGUGGCAGCGGAGGUGGUCAUGGUGGGGGAGGUGGUCAUGGUGGUGGAGGUGGAUAUGGUGGGCACUGCAGGUACGGCUGUUGUGGUGGCUAUGGCAAAUAUUGCAGGUGCUGCUACAACCCUGAAGAAGCUCAAGCUUUUGUACAAAAUGAGAACUGAGCCAAGCCAUAAAUCAAGGAAACUUCCAUGUACAAGUUUGCGUGAAUAACUACAUGGUUGAAUGUUGAUCUUAUGACAAAAAUAAAAUACUUAGUACAUGUGCUUCUGUGCUUAGCACAUAUGUAAGGAAUAAAAAGUUUCAGUCAUCAUUUGAUGAUGUGAAUUUCAACAAGUGUCCUUCAAUCCCAUGCCUGGAUUUUUUUUUUUUUUUUUUUUUUUAAAUUUGACAUCUGCUACUUGUCAUGUUUGUCUUUGCUCUUAACAUUUGCACUUGAAUGCUCCAGUCAAAAUUUAAGUAAAUUUGUGAAAUAAAUAAAAAUAGCAACACCAGACCAAUCAUUCAUGAUAGAAGUAGGAAGUAGGAAGCCAGAGAGAUAAUUGGAAAGUACACUCGAUUAAAGAAAAAACAACGAAAGCCACAUAAAAUCAGAAAAAAAAAAUUAAAUCGAGUGUAAUUGGCAGGGUACGUAUUCAUGCCACUGAUGGAGGCAAUGUAGUUGCAGGAAUUGCUGGCUUUGUGGGCUAUGACCAUAUAGAGUUGUAAGUAAUUUCUCACAGUAAAUGUUCUGCUUGUUCGUGGAAACAAGAGAACUAAAGCAUCAUCAGGUUUGACAAAUGCAAGUGCACAUCUUUGGACUUGGGAGUUGGGAGGACUCGGGAGCUAAUACCUACAUAGAAAAUGGGCGAUGGAUGAAGAAAGGUGCUACAGACUUUUUAUGUCCUCCAAUGUGGGUGGCAGAAUACACUUUCCUUGAAGUUGAUCAGCGAGAUUACUUUUGUGAUUGCUGAAAUUCAUGACAAAACGGUUCAACAUCUUCAAUCACAAAUUCGUCGAACUGCAAUUAUAAUCUCAUUGGACCAAACUCGAGUAAGCAAAUCAAAUCAAAUCGCUAAUGUCACUUCUUCCAAGUAGCGCUGACAUUCUAAGAUUGACAAGGAAAUGCAGGCUUUGACUCAUCAUUUACUUAAAGCAGGAUACAACAGCAAAAGAAAUCCAGAAGCAAAGAAUAUGAAACUAACCUGAAAACAAAGAUUUAGUAUUUCACAUUUAGAACAGUUACACGCAAAUCAAAAACAUUUUUGCUGCAUUGGGUCGGUGAACAUCCGUACAAGCAUGUGUUACAACAAGAUGUAUACAGUCUCAGGAGUCAUGCUACUAAAGUUUGAUGCCCGAUGCUCUCAGAAGAUAAAAUGGAACUCAGACACGUCGCUGAAGACUGGAGAGUCACUCAUCACUCAAAUGGUGGUCUUCUUAGACAAAGAAAUACCAUUAUCACAGCUGUUUAAGUAAAAUCCAACAGUCAAAGGCAACCAAAAAUAGUUAAAAUGAGGCAUAAAACAAAUAGAUUUCACAUCAGACUUCAACGACACUACUUGUAAGCUUGCAUUUCUGCAAAAGUGACUUAAGAAAGGGUGCCGGAUGAUAUGUUUGAGAAACCAAAGAUUGCAUUAGUUAAAUCCGCAUUUAAAUGCACAUUAUAUACUUAGCCAGUCGUAUUGACCAUCCCAAUUAGUCACGAGAAUCAUACAACUCAAGGCUGAUUAUCAAAUCAAAAGGAGUGGUUUGAAAACACAAAAUUUGGAAAAGAUGGCCAAUGGAAAUGUGGUUACAAGUACGAUUGAAUAUGAGAAACAUAACAAACUUGAUAGAUCUUCCUGCUGAAGUUAUUUGCUUUUCUUUUAAUUAGUUCAUAAAAUGUUAUUCGACUAUAAUAGUCAGCAGAAAGACAUCCAGAAAUUUUCUCACUCCAUAAUUGAAUUUAAGAAAAGAAAUUUAUACUAUAAGUUAAGUCUAUGCCAAUGAACAAGUUGCACAAAAUUAGUCCUUAAAUAACUGAAACACGGCAAGAUAUAUUUAUGAAAUACACCAUACUUGCAAGUAAGCUUAGUCAAUUUAAACAAGAAGAAGCAUCAGAUAAAUAAGAUCGUUUAAUAGUAAGAGGCAAAGGAAAGAAUAUUACCCAUGAUGCGAGCCUUAAGGGUGAUGAGGUUGCAGUCUCUUCAGAAAAAAGGGUCAUACUAAAGAACCAGAAGAGUUCUUAAGCCUUGUCUUAGCGCUUGAAAAAAACAAUAUCUCUGCCGCAGCUAACUUUGAUAGCUUCCUCCAAACUCUCCAUCUGAUCAAAAUCAACUUUGAAGGUUACCAUGGUAACACCAUCUUUUCCAGUGUCAUAAUCUUGCUUAAUGUCUUCAGCCCGAAAUGAUUGUAGCUGCAAGAUACACAAAUGGUGUAUUUGUGAGACAACUGUUUACGAUGUUGAGAUGCACUAAUCACAACCUCAUCAAACAAGUCAAUGCAUUGAUGACAUUUAGCAAACUGGUAAUAUAUGAAAAACUGACGUAUGCUCCACAUGUCAAAAUGACAAUCAAAACAUGAUUUGUCAUGACAAUAUUUGACAGUUAAUUAGCCAGCAACACAACCAGAAGAGAACUUAUAAAUCCUCUGAAUCUUACCUGAUGGUAGAGAACCCCCAAAAGGUCAUAUGGAAUCUCCAAGCCCAUUGGAACCUACAAAUCAAGAUCCUUGUCACAAUAUUUAAUUCAUGAAGCAGAUUUCAAUGUGCAAAGUACGAAGUGGAAAAGAAACUUAUAGAAUUAGACUACUAUUGAUUCAAUAGGCACAAGUUUUAGAGAAUGUAAAAGCCAGCAAGGAUGAGUUGUUACUUUGGACUUGACAAGACAAGUGGGGGCAUUUCUCAAACAAUCAGCAGCAACCCCUCCAUAAGCCCUGACUAAACCUCCGGUGCCAAGUUUAAUACCUCCGAAGUACCUAAAUUAUGAAAUGCAAAAAGAUGAACAUCUUGAAUAGCUUCUCUCCCUAGAUAGAAAAGCCAAAUAACAGACUAAUGGAUGUCAAAAACUUAAUGCAUGUAUCAAAAAAUGAAAAUUGUUACGUAAAAACAACACUCUCUACAUUUCAUUCACAAAAGAAACAUUUGAAUCAGAGCCAAAGGGAAAAAAGCAAUAGCAUGGCCCCAAAAAAUGUGCAACAUUUGUCUACCUGAUCACGACUACCAUAACUCUAUCAAUCCCAGAAGAUUCAAUUGCAGAAAGUAUUGGCUUGCCUGCUGUACCAGAUGGUUCACCGUCAUCAUUACUCCGAAACUGAUCCCCAACCUAGAAUUCACAAAUAACUGCAUUUGCGUCGAAAACAACCAACAAACAAAAGGGGCAAAGAGAAAUAAAAGCCUCAUAAUUGAUUCAAGUACCCCAAGAAUCACUAAUAACUAUCAUACCGGAAAAGAUCAAAUUUUGUACCUUAUAUGCCCAACAAUUAUGAGUAGCCUUGGGGUCACGAACCUUAUUUCCAAACAAAACAAAAAAUAAGUCUUUAAUGGCAAAAAUAAAAAAAUAAAAAAAACCAAAAGUAAAAUGCAAGAAAGAAGAGAGGAAGGAGUGAUUAUUAAUACCUCAGUGAGGAAGGCCUGAGCAGAGCGUUCAUUAGAGAUGGUGCCAGCAAUGGCGAUAAAUUUACUCUUCUUUAUCUCUGUCUGAAAUGUGACCCUUUCUUUAAUUGUGGUAAAGGCACCACCUUUUUUAUUAUUAUUGGGAUUAGAAUCAGACGCAGUGAUGCUAUUGCUGCUAAUGGUGGCCAUUGGCGUUAGAUAAAUACAGGGUUUUGUCUGAAUUACGGAGAACGAGGGAAGAAAACGGUGACGGUGAUUCUGAAGAUUGUGAUGGAGAAGAAGGGCUUUGUUCAGAUUCUUGAAAGGGAUUGAGAGAAUCCGCAUAGAAGCAGCCGCCUGCAUCAGCAAAAACCUUAAUUUCUUUCCAUCUAAAACGUUGUCGUGAUGGUGGAAUUCGAUUAAGGUUUCGUUCUUUGUUUUUUAUGCUCAAUUUUGAGGACAGAAAAAUAUGCAAGCAACAAAAUAGUCUUUAGGAUUAUAGAGCACGCUUUAAAAUAUGCAAGCAACAAAAUAUUCUUUAGAAACAUCGAGGCGUGGAACUCUUGAGUAUUAUAUGGGACGCUUUAGAUUGAGGGCGCAAAAGGAUGGGGAUAUUUGGGGGAAAAAAAAAAAAGUUACCCCACAUUUGUGAUUUGUUACUCGAAUAGACAAAAUUUGGAAAAUGCACUUCCAUCCAUUAAAAAGUAACUUUAAGAAGUUAGCCUAGAACGACAUAUGCAUAAUUUGGCUUAAAUACCUACAUUUUGAGAAUUUCCUUGAAAAUGUUAUUUGCGCCAUUUCUGUUAAUUACACUCCCACUAUUAUUUUAAUCAUAUAAUUUUUGUUUGUUAGAACAUAUAAUAAAACAAAUUAUGCUAGUGCAAGUAACAAAAAAUGAGUGCAAAUAAUAUUUCUCUUUUCCUUUUGCUCAAGUUAUGCAAGUAGUAUUUCCUCUGUCAACGAGCAAUUCUUAGGUUUUUUAAUGAAGGACAACAAAAGUAUGAAAAUACAUAUUCAAAUGAUGUCCAUGCCAAAAUAAGAAGACCACCAUGCAAAGAAAUAUGUCAUUGUGAAUUUUAAUAUUAAAUUAUCAAGGCUUACUGCAAAAUAAAAUGUAAAAGAUCAAUAUGAUGUUAAGAGAUGUGAUUCGCUAACUAAAGGUUUUUUCAUGAUUAAAUUGGAUUGGCACUCCUCAAAAAUGCCCCUUUUCAAUCCAAAAGUCUCAUACUAAAUAUGAAAAUAAAAAAAAAAAAACAAACUAAGAUGAUGGUCUUUUCAUUCGAACCUUCAUUUUGUACUAAACAUAGAACUAGAAAUAAGUUAUAAAAACAUGAUCUAUUCAAGUUUAUGUGAAAAAAGUAAAUUUUUCACAAAAAAAUUUUGCAUGUGCUGAUGAGCCAAAAUAAGCAAAAUACCACACUUUCCUAGUAAAUCAAGCACAAAUGCAAGGAAUUGUUUUUGCUUUCUAAUACUAUUGAAAACUAUAAUUUUUUAUUCGCUUCGCUGUCUCCAUCCCCAACGUCGCUUUGGCCGAGUGGUUAAGGCGUGUGCCUGCUAAGUACAUGGGGUUUCCCCGCGAGAGUUCGAAUCUCUCAGGCGACGACUCUUUUACCUUUUCGGCUUCCGUUUGCUCUUACAAUCUCACCGACUACUUUCUAGUAGUUCUUCACUUUUGACCGUUAAACACUUGUUCUUUCUCCGGCUUUCAAGUCAAGACAACUUUUCGUCCACAUUAAUCGGAGAACCUGAAAUGGGAACUGGAAGGGGACCUCACCGGAGAAAGUCAAUGACCACCUCUCCCUCUGUGGCUCUGUCCCCCUCCCCCAUAUAUACCUCUUCUGACUUUUGAAUUGUCUCAAGACCGACCCUAACGCGGUGACUCGGCCAUCCCUCCAACCAGUUUGGUGAACUGGGCAAUCCAGCCAACAACAACUCACCAAUCAAUAAGUCCAAUGCAUUAGGUCCACCCUCUUGACACGUAGCAUUUUCUUUUUUUUUUUUUUCAAGAAAAAUGUUUGGGUACAUUCAGCUCCAAUCAAUACUGGUGUAUACCUCCCGAACCAUAGAUCGCUUACAGAAAUUUUUACAGAUCGCCUACCAACACAGUUUUCACAUUGGCGGCGGGAUUCGCAUACAUAAUCUUUUGUAAAAAAGUGAUUCAUUCUUAUUAAUUGGACCAACUUGUGUAAAAAAGUGAUUCAUUCUUAUUAAUUGGACCAACUUGUGUUGACAUAGCCUUUGUUGUUCAUGAAAAAGGUUGCAUUUCCUUUCAAGUCUGGAGUAGUGACUUAUGGGAAUUGGAAAAUAAGGGUGCAUUUAAUAAAAUUGAAAUUUGAGAUUUGAAAUCUAAAAUCUAAAUUUAGCAAAUUACUAAAUUAUUAAGUACCAAAUUUAAUAGUACAUUUGAGUGUAUGUCACAUUAAGUGAUAAGUGAAUAGCUUAUCACUUAUUUUUUUUAUCCAAAUUUUGUCUUAAAAAAUUCAGCGUCAUUUAAUUAGUUCAAAUAUUUUAUUUUUAGUUAUCAAACGUGUCGAAAUAAGUUAAAAUUUGAAUACACUAAAUUUAAGUGAUGAAUUAGGUUAGCAAACACGGUGGAGUCAAGCUUAACAUUUGGCUGCAAUCAAAGGGUUAACGGCCCCGUCAGUCUAUGACCAUAUUUAAUUUCAAUGAUAAUGUGAACGACUAACAUAUUUUAUCAGCCUCAUUUUUUCUCAAACUUUUUGACAGUUGCCAUUAGCCUCAUCUACCUGAUGGAAUUGGUGUCCUUUAACGUGGUCAAGUGACGUUUUCUUCUUCCAUGGGCCAAUUACUUGGGAAUUUUUUUUCUUUAAUUAUAUGAUUAAAAUUAACACACAAUAAUGACAACAAUACUGAGCACACACAGAUUAAAACUGAUCAACAACAUUACAGCUAAUAACAUUAGAAAAUGUGGGAUGGUAACUAAUAAAUUCACAUUCAGUGAGAUUUAAACCCAAGAUUUGUUUAUUUACAUGAUUUAUAAAUCGUCUCUAUUAAAUUAACCUUUUUAAGUUAGCAUGGCAAAUAAUCAUCAAGCGAUCUGUGUAUCUACAUGAGCAGAAAUUUUACAAAACCAUUAUUUGAAUUACUCUAUAUGCAUAUGUUUUGAUGCCCUCAAAUUGUUCAGAAUACUUCAAUAAACAACCUAUUCAGUCGACACAUUUUUCAGUAUUCAGUAUUUCCAAUCCUUGUGAUAAGGUGGUUAACUGAAGGGUAGAUAUUAAAGUUCUCUUGAUUAAUAUUGAUUAAGUGCAUAAGCAUAUUAUUCUUUCAUCAAAUCCAAUAAAAAAAAUUCCUUAAUCACGCGUUAUAGUGACAUUAGGGUACCCCAAAAAAAAAAAAAAUGAAUCGAAUAUUGAAGCUGUUGAUUUGCAGCAUGGACUCGUUGAGGUUAGGUCGGAGGUUUGCUCAAGGGAGGUAAUAUCUUAGGUAGUGGCUGGAGGACCGGGCGCGUCAUCUAGAUGCAGGAGUUGAGGAGAAACUUUAAAUCAGUGAUGGAAAUUUGAUGCCAAAUAAUGGCCUUAAUUAGUUCUCUUCAUGGUGCUCAGUAUAUUUUUCGUCUAUAACGAACAUAUUCAGAUGCAUGAAUUUAAUUAUGAUGCGACUUUGGGCAGUCUUUCAUGGAUUGCCUGCUAUCAUAAGUAGCAAUUAGUUAUUGAACAGGAAUUGGACUUUUAACUUCUACUAGAGAAAUGCUUUUAAGACGUUAUUGUUUUCAGGUUCAGAUAUCUAUUGUAGAGAAGAUUACUUGACGAUCUAGUAAUUAACUGGAAGAUCUUAAGAAAAAAAAAAAAGAUCAGCUAGCUACUAUAAAUGGUGAAAUUUAAAAAGCGCGGAGAAAAAAGAAAAAUUUAAAUUCAAUAUCUCUAAAUCCUGAAAUCUCAACUUUAUUCAGCAUUGAAAAAUAAUUGUUCGAGAAAUUAUUACGUGUAAAACAUACAUUCAACAGUCAGAAACUCGAUCGUGUGUGUUGACUGGUCAAAAAUAUCUUUAGGGCAGGUCAGAAGAACAUGCUGUUGACUCUUGGCUCUUCUAUCUUGAUUGGGCCAAGGUGGGAAUCCGAUAUUAUUCCACUCUCUGUUCUUUUCUUUUGGCAGAGAAUCGUAUGCAUGAUAACAAAGCGGGUAUGCAGGCUUUGGGUCUGGGGAGGAAAGAAAAGAUGAAAAAUAAAAGAAGAAUGCGUCACGCUCUGACUUGGUUCCCAAAGGCAUCCAUUAUUCAGCUGGAACUCUGCUCUGGUCAAAUUUGCGCUGUGUAGACUACGCAGUAUUGUUCCAACCAUUCCAAGUCGUAAUAAAGCAACUUGUUGGACAACAAUUUCUAUUUUGUGGACGUAAUUCAUCAUGUAAUCAUUAGCAACCCUUCCAGAUUAUGGAGAGCUAAACAAAGUUGUGGUUUCAAUUACCUUCUUAUCUUUCUAACUAUUAUUUUUUAUUUCACAUACCUUACAUGCUAAUAUAACAGGUGCUACAAUAUUUUUUUUUAAAAAAAUAUUUCAAAUAAUCUCCGAUCCAAAAUUAUUAAUUUGGAUAGAAGAGGGAUUUAAAGGUAAGAAUGUGCGACACUUUAUUCUUUUUUAUUCUGGGGUUUAGGAGAGAAAUUGAGAAUUAUAUUUACUUUGCUUGGAAGUUAGUGUAUGAAAGAGAAAUGAAGCAUCCAAAUUAUUCUGACUUUCUCUACCUGUUAAGCAAGAGGUUUACUUUUUUUUUUUUUUUGGUCUACUUUUUUCAAGUUGAGAAACUUGUACAUGUCCAUAAUUACUCGAAAACUUGCAAGGAAACUAUCUUAAGGAAAAAGAGCCAAAAUAGGUAAGUUGCCAAAGCAAAUGGUGCAAAUAUUUGCUAAUUACCUUUCUAGCUCUCGUUGUAUCCACAAUUCACGAGUUCCAAUAAUAAUAAAAAAAAAUAAAACAACAAAAAUGAAUACAAAAUUGAAGUUUUCUAAGACAUUCAUUGAUACUCGAUAACACAUCUAAAUUUCAUCUAACAUAUCGCGCGUGUGCAUGUAUAUAUUGAUAAUUAUUGCCUUCCCUUCUCCUAUUUAUAUAUAUUUUUUAAUUAAUUUUAUUUUUUAAAAAAUUUAACACUUGAAUUAUAUUUUAAAAUGUGCCUAUUGGACACCCGUUAGAUAUAUCCUUAAAAAAUUGCAAAAAGCAAAAAGUUACAAAAGUGUUAAAGGCAUUAAAGAAAAAACUUUGUUGGCCACAGCCCGCAACAACACGAAUUCAUGAAUUCUCGUACUGACCCCCUUAUUCUUCUUUAACAGUAACCAAUAACCUUAGAACUCCGCCAGUUGGCCAAUUUGCAAAGCGCAGGAUGUGGUAGCGUUCUAUUAGGUCAUUAGACAAUUAGUCUCUGACCCCAUAACCGCGUAAACAAAUUCAACCUAAAUUCUACUACUACGCAAGAAACUUCCUUCAUUUCCCAUUUUCAUUUUCCUUUCGUUUCCUUUUUCCUAAAAAUAGUUCCAAUUUCCCCCACUAUAUAUAUGUAAACCUUUCUCCUCCCUUCCCCCUCAAACCAUCAAUCACUUCAAUUUUCUUUCCCCUUUUACCAGCACAUGUCUCAGAGACCCAACGUCCCACACUUCUCCUCCGUCGCCUGCGGCCUCCAUUCCCAUCUCCUGGUUUCCAGUGAGAUGUCCUCUAAUUCCAACUGGUCUUCUUCUGCUCGUACCUUGUAGCUAUUCCACCACCUAGUCUUUUUCCUUAAAUACCCCACAAAAUUAAAAAUUAAAAACCACACACACACUAAACCCAAACAAACAAGGAGAAGAAAGGAAUCAAGAAAAACGCUACUCAUUUUUUCUGAGUUCAACAAAAGAAGAAAAUAUGGGUUUGAAAGGCUUUCUUGAAGGAGGCAUAGCUUCAAUAGUGGCUGGAUGCUCCACCCACCCGCUGGACCUCAUCAAGGUCCGAAUGCAACUUCAGGGAGAAUCCCCCGUCCCCAAACCGGCUGCUCAAGCGCUCCGACCAGCUCUAGCCUUCCACCCUGCAGCUGGUCAGGUUUCUCAUCCUCACAUUCACGUCCCUUCUCCAUCUCUUCGUCCGCCGCCGCCCCGCGUGGGACCCAUUGCCGUGGGAGUCAAGAUUGUCCAGCAAGAAGGGGUCGCCGCGUUGUUUUCCGGCGUCUCCGCCACCGUCCUCCGCCAGACUCUUUACUCCACCACCCGCAUGGGACUUUAUGAUGUUCUGAAGCAAAAAUGGACCGACCCACAUACCAACAAGAUGCCUCUGGAUAGAAAAAUCGCUGCUGGGCUCAUCGCCGGCGCGGUUGGAGCGGCCGUCGGGAACCCCGCUGACGUGGCCAUGGUCCGCAUGCAAGCCGAUGGUCGGCUCCCGGUGGAUCUGCGGCGCAAUUACAAGAGCGUGGUUGACGCGAUUGGUCAAAUGGCUAAAACCGAGGGAGUUGGCAGCCUGUGGCGCGGUUCAUCCCUUACGGUGAACCGCGCUAUGGUGGUGACGGCAUCACAGCUGGCAUCAUAUGAUCAGAUCAAGGAAUCGAUAUUGGAAACGGGUCUGAUGAAGGAUGGGCUUGGGACCCACGUGACCGCCAGCUUCGCCGCGGGGUUCGUGGCGGCGGUGGCGUCGAAUCCGGUGGACGUGAUCAAGACUAGGGUGAUGAACAUGAAGGUCGAGCCGGGGAUGGCCCCACCUUACAGUGGAGCCGUGGAUUGUGCUAUGAAAACUAUCAAGGCUGAGGGCCCACUGGCCCUUUACAAGGGGUUUAUUCCCACAAUCUCAAGGCAGGGACCAUUCACAGUGGUGCUCUUUGUCACACUGGAACAAGUCCGGAAAUUGUUCAAGGAAUUUUGAUUUUUGAGGAUGAUGACGAAGAAAUUAGAAUAAAAAGAAAAUUAUGUUUCUUCUUUUAUGUUCCUGAGAUCUGGGAGUUUGAAUAGCAAGAAAUCUGUCAGAUACUGCAUGUCCUUUGAUUUAUAGUAAAUGGUUAAUUUUUUUUAAUUUGAAUUAUAAACUUGAAACCAACGCAAUUAAAGUAUUCUAUUUUUCAUUAUUUUCAAAGGUCGUGGGAGAAUACGUAAAUCAAUGCAAACUUAUUUGUCUCUUGGACGAACAAAUUAACUUUUACUUUUGGCCGAAUAUCGAACAAAGUCGAUGCAAUUUGACAAAAGGUGAAUUUGAGUGGCUGCAAUUAGUACUAAUUGUUUGUUCAUGUGAGCUAGGGGCUCUAGCUUCUACUUACCCUUUUUUUCCUUUUUUCUAAAUGAGCGGUAUUAGUCUCAUGUUCUUGUUUUUGUAGUCCCAUAAUUACAUAUAAUAUCAGCAAAAAGUUAUAUCCCAAGCUUGAUUUUGGUUUCUUUGUUAAGCAAAAUUCAGUUCCAAAUUAGCAAUAGUAUAUAGUUGUGUUUGGACAGACAUUUUUCGUCCAAAAAUUACUACAUUUUCCGUGAACACAUUUUCCUAUCAUCUUUUUACUUCACAUACAUCAAAUCAAAUCGCUACAGUAAUUUUUUUACAAAAAAUCCAGAAAAAUGCAAUCCAAACACAACCUAUUAUAUUGUUGAAUUCAGUUGGACUUUGUACUCAAGUGGAAUAUUCGAAGCUCAUAUGCGCUGCUAAAAAGUGCUGGUAUAUUCUUAUAAGAUAUGUAUAUAUUCUUUAGUUAUGGCUAAAAUUGAGACCUUCAGAAAUUAAAAGUCUUUUUUGUUUUUUGAAUCUCACCUCUUAUGUGCCAAAAAAAAAAAAAGUUCUUUAGCUAGAAGUGAUCGUUGUAAGAUAUGUAUUUUCUCAAGCUAAGAAGUUAUUUAAGGAUCAAUAAUAAUUAUUCUUUUAUGUUUUCAAACAAACUUUAUGAAAAA